CAAUCCUGAACAUCGAAAUUCCCUAUUUACCCUCCUCGCCCUAUCAAAUUUCCCUCAUCGCCCAAAAUUUCCAUGGCUUGACCCGGAAAUCCGACUCAAAUGGACUCUCUGCAAAGUCUCCCUCCACUAUUGACUCUGUCCACCUCAGUUUCCUCUGCCCUCAACGCUAAACUCGGCACCAACCAUGAUCUAACCCAAGCACCAAGCAUCGUCGCCUAGUUUCUGACUCAGUGCGAUGACCUGGAACGAAAUCUAGUCCACCUCAACCGCACGCUCGAGUCAAACCUCGCAUCUUACGCUUCCUUCUCUAAUCGCAUCGGCCACCUUUUCGGCAUUGUAAAUUCGAAAUUGACCGAUCUAAGGUCCUCCGUUUGCCUUCGGUCCUCCGUUUCAGGUUCGCAUCAAUGCAAAGUUUCGAUUUUGAUAUUGAUUUUCUCUUCUUCUUCUUCUUCUUCUUCUUUUAUUUUUGAGUUUGUGCAUGAAGAGCACUGGUUUUAUCUUUUUUUUUUAUGCGGAAACUUCUGUGUUAUAGACGGAGAAGGAUUGGGAGAGGAGUUGCCGUCGUUGGCCAAGGAGGUGGCCUGAGUGGAAGCGGUCCGAGCAUAUGCAGGUGAGAGUUCUAAAAUGUCAUAGAUUAUAGGAAUUCUAAAAUUCUCAUUAAAUUUAAGCAAAAGCACUAAAUUUUUGUUUAGAUAGUUAAGAAGAAUUAUUCUUUAUAGUGUUCUGGUAUUUCAGUUGUUGUGUUUCAAUAUGCAAAGAAAGGUGUUUUUGGUUAUUCUAUGGUUGAAAUUGAGGUAAAAUGAUUCAUAUUAGGGCUUUCACUCUGCUUUUGCUAUUUGGUUUCUUUCUUUUCUUUUUACUUGUAAAAUAUGUAUAGAAAGCUAAAAGUAGCAGAAGUUUCAAACAGACAUAGCCUACUAAUCAUCAAUAUGAUUUAUUCUCUUCUGGUAAGAAGAUAUUGAUGGCCCAUUAUUGCUUUUUCUCAGGUAAUACCUCCAAGUGGAUGUCCUACCAUCUGUAGCUCAAUGUGGUAUGAAUAACUCAUUUGUGUAAUAAUAUUUUCUUUUAUAUUUUUGUUUCCAGCGAGAGAAAGUUGAACAGUUGCUACUUGAAUCAACUACAAGUUAUCCCAUCAUUUGUGACAACCCCAAAAAGAUAUAUCCUGCAAGGGAUGGAAAUCCUGCGAAAAUUGCUUUGAGAGGAUUGUCUCUUGCUUUGCCCAGAGGGGAGUGUUUUGGCAUGCUUGGACCCAAUGGUGCUGGCAAGACUUCUUUAAUUAAUAUGGUAGUGUAAGAUUUUUUUUCUCUCUCUAAAUUGAAAGUAUGGUUCUUUUAUGCACUUAGCAGACUCGUAUGCAUUUUCUGUGACGUGAGGGGCUGAAAGUGAAACCUUCCAUGUUAGGAUCUAGUUUGUUUCCCUAGUAGUAAUUUUAGCCAUUUUGUUCCCUAUGUUGGGAUUACUUUUGUCUUACUCAUGCCUGUAUCUUAUAAAGAUAGAAUCAGGUUUAGCUGCUAAAAACUAUGCAAGAUUGAUGUGUUAUUCUGUGGACAGAUGAUUGGGCUCACAAAACCAACCUCAGGGACAACAUAUCUUCAGGGUUUGGAUAUACUGACUUCUAUGGAUAUAAUCUAUACAAGCAUGGGUGUCUGUCUGCCCCGGAGUAUGAUAUAAUUGUUUCCUUUUGCCAAGAAACACAUUGUUUUCCAUGUUGAAAGAUUUCUUAUUUUGUUAUUUGUAAAUUAGCCUGCUCUGGGAAACUUUAACUGGGAGGGAGCACUUGCUAUUUUAUGGGAGACUGAAGAACCUCAAAGCUUCUGCAUUAAAUCAAGUAAGUCAAGAUUACCUUCUUAGCUUGUUAUGGAUUUUACUUGGAGAAGUUGAUGCUCAUAAAUAUUAUUUAAUUAUAAAUCUAAAGUCUAGAGGCUCUUCUAUCAGACUUCCGUUUUGUCUUUUAAUAUUCAAAUAUUAAGGGCGGAUGGUGGACCUUCACAGAAAACUAGGCUGAGGCGAUGUAGUUCAUCGUCAUGUAAAAUAUUUGGAUUCUAUUUUUGCUCAUUCCCAUGCAAUUGCCUCAGGCAGUGGAAGACUCUCUUAAGAGUGUCAACCUAUUUCAUGGAGGGGUUGCAGACAAACAUGCGGGCAAAUACAGUGGAGGUAUGAAGAGGAGACUCAGCGUUGCCAUUUCACUGAUUGGGGAUCCUAAGGUAAAAUGGUUCACUCUACAUUUCUAUGUAAGACAUUACUAAACUUAUAUCCUGGGGUGCUGUUCAUGGCUUUAAUAAUUUGAGAUUUUGCAAAUAGGUUGUCUUUAUGGAUGAAACCAGUACUGGUCUUGAUCCAGCUUCAAGAAAGUCUAUGGAGUGUUGUGAAACAGGCAAAACGAGACAGGGCAAUUAUUCUCACCAGUAUCUCUCUCUCUGCACUGCCACUCUUGAUUCACCAUUCUUGAUUUUAACCUAUUUGCAUGCUUUGCUCUCUCUUUUGCAUUCUUGAUUCUACAGAUAUAGUUGUAGUGUUGCUUUUUGUUUUUGUCAUAUACGCAUUUACCUUGUAAAUGAAUUGGAUUCGCCUUUCUUAUUUAUGGAUUAUGAAAAACUAGAAUUUGUGUUACAAGGGAAUGUGUGUGAUGCUACUCUAUCAUAUAAUGUAAAAAAUGUGACAAUGUUGCUCCUAGCGAAGUGAGGUUGCAGCAAGAAGAGAUUAUGGUGGCUAAGCAUCCACAAGUGAGGUCAAGUAUAAAAAUUGAUGUAAAAGUAACAUAAUUUUGAGUCUUAUUUGAAAGAUAAUUUACAUUUGAUGUAUAUUAAAUUAACCAGUUAAUUGACUUAUGAUUCCCAUUAAAAAAACCUUUCAUAUAAAAUUAGCUCUUGUACUAUAUUGCUACUUAAAAAUUUUUUUUUUCGAUACUGGCAUAAUAAUCCCAAUGAGAAGGAGACCUCUCACCUCAACAACCAAGUUAUUAUUAAGUAAAUAAUAGGUAAAAGAUUAAAAAAGAAAAAGAAAAAUAUGAAAAUCAAAUUCUAAGUUUUAAAAAUAUAUAAAAAUUCUGAAAAUUUUAACAAAUCAUUAUUAAAAUAAAUUAAAACUUUAGAAAAUAUAAAAAAUUAUAUUUGCUCAAAAUUACUUAAAUGGAGUUAUUGUGUUUGUAAUUGAAAUUAUCUUAUUCUAAAAUUUUCUUAAUUCAAGUUUAAUUUAUCUAAUUUUUUUUUAUUCUAAAGAUGAAUUAUAAAAUUUUGGUAUAUUAAUCUAUAAUUUCAUAAACUUCGUAAAGUAAAUUUAUCAUUUUGGGUUAAAGCCAUUAUCUACGAAUUACCCAUUACGAUUAUAAUUAUUUGUGUAUGUAAUAAAUAUGCAUAAAAUGAUGAUAUAAAAAUCAAAUUAAAAUAAAAAUUUUGAUAUAUGUAAUUCAACCCAUGUGUGAACAGAGAGCUGAAUGGUAGGAACAAUAAAUUCUCUAUAUUUGAAGAUUGGUUAGAGCAAGAUUUUUAAAGUUUUUUGAGGGAAUCUCACAUAAAUGAAAAAGGGAAAAAGAUAGUAAAUAAAUGAAUGUCUAUUCAAAUAAAAAGAUAGAGAAAGGGAAACUUCUUGUAAAUAUAUUAACCAAUGGUUUGACGAUGUAUAUAUGGUAAUUAACCCUUUUUAUAUUUUAAAAUUUAUUUAAAAGUAAAUAUAUAAAAAUCUUUUAAAUUGGUAAGUAAUCUUAAGAGGAUUCAUGCUUUUUAUUAAACACAAAAAGACAAAAAGACAGAAAAAAUUUAAAUUUUAACACAUCUGUAUUGCCUAUGCCAUUUCAAGAGAAUGGGGCCCACCAUUUUGACAGUUUUUUCCCCUCCCACGUAUUACUCAAAAGAUUUUCAGUUUUAGAAAACAAUAACAAAUUAUUGUUUUAAAUUUAAAAAUUUAUCAUUAUCUCAUUUAUUUAGUUUAAUUUUAAAUAAUUAAAUACUGAUGUGUUAUAUAGGUGGUAAUCUACAUGUAUGUUAUGUAAUAAAAUUAACAAAGACUAAUUUUUCCAUCCACUUUUAGAUGAUUUAAUAAUAAAAAAAACACAAGUUCAAUGGUUAAAAGAGAUGAAAAAAAUUAAAUAAAGGGUUAAAAUAUAAUUUUUUAAAAGUUUGAAGGCGAAAAAAAUUAUUAUGCCUAUGCAAAACAUCAUCAUCCAUCAAAAUUAAGGUUAUAAAAUAUAAAACGCAAGUCAUUGUUUUGACUAAAUAAUUGUUAUGUUAGCUCAAUCAAAAAGGCACAUUUCUAAUUAUUUACUGAAAAUAUUAACUUCAACUUUGGGUAUAUAUUUACGAAUUCAUGAAGUUUAAUUUUAAGGAAAGCUAAUUUAAAGUAACGUGGAUUCAUUUGAACAUGGAUUCAUUUGAUAGAUAGUAUAUAUUAUAAAUAAAUCGCUACAAAACUAAUUACAACAAUGGAAUAAUUUUAUCAACUUUAUUAAAUUACUGAAAUUUACACCCUAACCUUAUCAUCAUCAAAUCAACUUGGCGAUGAGCACUGAUUAAUCAAGAAAAACUUUCAAAAGACACACCAUAUCAGAAAUGCACAAAAGGCUAAGUUUGAGAUGACCUAUCCUCAUCAUCUCAGAUCUAUCAUCAUCACUAUGAUCUUUCGUGAUAAAGUAUUUCAAGAACAAAUCUUAAAAGAUAUGGUAACACCCUUAUAUUGACAAACUUCACAUACGCCAGAACAUGACUAAAAAUAGAAAGUAAAAAUACAACCACAUCUGUUUUAAAAGAAAACAAAGUGGACAAAACAAAAAACCAUGAAAAAUGUGAACAAAAUAAAACUAUAAAGUUGUGGACAAAACUGCAAUAAUAUGGACUGAAAUUAAAAUUAAAAUAGAACUACAAAAGAUAUUGAAGAAACCGUGAUCAACAACCAACCCAAAAGCCAGCGCCGUCAAUGAAACAAAGAUUUAAUUUGUAAAAGUUGAGCAGCUAGGGUUUUUUAUGAAAAGAAGAGAAAGAAGAGAGGGGGAAAUAUUUUCCAUUACUUUUAAAUAGUAUGUAUUUAAAUUGACUCGAUUAAAACUUUCAUUUUUUUUUGGUGAAAAAUGAUAAACAGAAAUACAACGUAAUAACUACUUAAAGACUCUAAAAGCUUUGUCUCUUUGGAUACCCGUAACCACCAAAUUAGGAGGUACUUCAAAGAUUUGAAGGGAAGUCUGCCAACAAUGACUAAUCUUUGCCAAUCGAUCUGCAAUUAAAUUACACUUCCUAGGAACAUACUUGAUUUCCUACUGACCAUCAGAGUGCGAAAAACGUUUAACUCUUCUAAGCAACGUAAUAUCGGAGUCCACUGACUCUUCCAUGGACAAGGCAUUAACCACCUCAAGGUUAUCUAUCUGAAUCCUGACUUUCUUGUAGCCCUUAUUUAAAAAAAAAGAGAGAAUUCCAUCAUGAACACCCCAAAGUUCAACCUCCAAAGGCUAACAUUUUCCCAAAUAAUGAUUAAAGCCCGAAAUCUAAUUGCCAGCCUAACCAUGAGCCACCCCACUCGUAGAUGCAUUUCCGGAAGUUCUAGCCACUGCUCCAUCAGAAAAUAAAUUGAUCCAAUUGUCUUCAUAAUGGGAGUGAAUUUUCGAAUUCAGUGAGUUAGGCUUGGCCUCAUUUAGAAAAGGUUCAAACUGUUGGGCCCAAUUGAGAGAAACUUUUACAAUUUCAUAAGUAGUCAAAAUUAAUGUUUUGGGAGAUGAAAAGAUUCCUGUUUUUCCAAAUUCUCCAAGUAAUUAAUCCAAAUAAGCAUGACCAAGUAAUUCCUUAAUCCUGCAUAUUAAAAUGACAACAAAUGUUAGUUGAAAACCAAUUUUGAAGGGAAUCGGAAAAAAAACUAGAUUACUUAUUAGGAGGGACUACAAGCAUCCAUGCUUCCUUAGCUGUCGAACAGUCUCAGAGAACAUGCAUAAUGUCCUCAAUAUCAUGACCACAUAAUGAGCACACAUUGUUUUUCCCAAUUCCUCUCCUAGCACGUUCUGAAUUAGUAAGAAGCUUCUGUUUGACCACAAGCCAUAGAAAAAGACGGACUCUCUGUGGUCCUUGAUAUUUCCAAAGGCUUCUAAAUAUCAUCUUUAAGACUCCAAGAAUAUUUUUUUAAAGCCCAGUAAGCACUAUGAACAAAAAAAGACCCUAAACCAGAUCGAACCCAAAUGAUCCUAUCCUCACCACUAGCAGAAUGAGGAGGGGGGAUACUUACUAUACUCUUUAUCACGUCAUCAGGUAGCCAAAUAUGAAGCAAAUCAACGUUUGAAGAACUAUCAAGAAGAACCCAAUUCCUCAAAGUGCUCUCCAAAUCUAGGCUAGCAUGCGCUAGGACAUAAGAAAAAAGAGGACCAACUUCUGGUACCCCAAGAAUCUUUCCAACCAUGAAUUGUACAACCAUCACCAAAAGACCACAUGAGAUUCUCACAAAAAAGAGGCCACACCUUAGAAAAGGAACGCGAAAGAUGAGAGCAUUAAUUUCUGUGAAUAUAAUCUGGAAGCUGAUUCUUCCAGCCAUAUAAGUUAAACCGUUAUAAGUUAAUAAAGUUAAGGGAAUUUUUUUGAACUUAUUGAAGUAUAUGUUAAAAUAAAACGGUUUUUUUCAUAUUUAAUCGACAAAGUACUAGUUUCUUUAUUCAAAAUAAUUAACAGAACAUCAGAACAUUAAUCUAGAUUCGACCGUUGUAGAAGACGACAAAUAAUAGAUAUAAUUAUAUCAAUUUUUUAAUACAUUCAUUUAAUAUACUUCCAACAAAACCUUAAUUUAGUUGAAAUCCCUUUUUGUCUAUUAUGUUUUUUAUUUGUUUUCAUAGUAUCUAAUUUGGCAUGAUCAAAACCAUAAUUUAGAUCAAGAUUAUAAAGUCAACCAAGUCAAGAGGGUUUAUGUUAACUUUUCCAUGCAUAUACAUUAAGAUAAAGGUUUUUUCAUUCAUGUUUGAUAAAAAAGAAGUAGUAGUUUUAUUCAAUAAUUGGUAGAAUAUAAGAACAUUAAUCAAGAUCCCAUCAUUGUGAAAAAUAUUUUUCUCAAGAAGUAGUGGUUUUUUUAUUCACACUUUGACCUUGGUCAAACCCCAUCUCUUCAGAUUUAAAUUUUCUCCAGAAGGAAGAUCUUCGAUUAAAUUUGUCCAUUCUUGUGAAGAUCUGACUUCCAAAGACAACAUAUCGAUUAAGCUUGGCAAUGGCUUUAUGAGCUUCCGCAAACUUGGGAAACCUUACAAAGCCAAAACAUUGUCCUCUCAUACUACGUCUCCUUGGAAUAAAAGCAUUUAUAACAUGACCGCGAUAACAAAAAAUUUUCCAUAACCCUUUCCAAUGGAGUUUUUUUGGUAAUCUUUCCAUGAUAAUUGUUGAACACCCUUUAGUCCCUCCAUAAAAUCGAAACACCAUCUUGAACUAAGCUCAAUUGCCACAUAUAAAAUAAGGUUUUUUUUCACAUUGGAUUGGAAAAGUACUAAUUUCUUUAAUCAAAAUAAUUAAUAGAACAUAAGAACAUCAACCAAGGUCCAAUCUUUUUUUUUUUUGUAGAAACCAGGGUAUCCACAGCCAAUAGUGGUGACUAAUACUCUGACCACAGGUGCUCUUCAAAGAGGUAAACCACUGGCCAGGAAAUGUACUUCAUUCCCAUGGGCGGGGAUCAAACCCCCGGACCUCAUGGCCAUGGAGGAUCCGGUCGUUUUGAAAAACAACAAAAAAUAGAUAAAUUUAUAUUAAUUUUUGAAGUAUAAAUUCAUUUAAUGUGAUUUGAUUGAAAUCUUAAUUUAGAUCAAAUUCGUUCUUUACCUAUUAAAUUUCUUUAUUUGUUUCCAUAGUAUUGAUUUAACCCGAUCAAAGCACUAAUUAGGAUGAACAUUAAAUGAUUAAAAUUCAAUUAAACUUAUUGACAUAUAUGUGUUACAAUAAAAGGAUUUGUAUUCACAUUCGACCGAAAAAGUACUAGUUGAUUUAUUCAAAAUAAUUAAUAGAACAUAAUAACAUUAACCAAGGUUCGAUCAUUCUGAAAAACAACAAAAAAUUUAUAUAAUUAUAUUAAAAUUUGAAGUACAAAUUCAUUUAAUGUGAUCUGAUUGAAACCUUAAUUUAGAUGAAAUUCAUUUUUUUCAAUUUUAUUUUUUUAUUUGUCUUCAUAAUAUAGUAUGUAUAUGGUUUGACUCAACCAAAACCCUACGCAAAAUUGACAUAAAUAUGUUUAAAUAAAAUGAGGAAGGAAUGCACAUACUAAGGUUUUAUGGCCAAAUGAGAACAAGAACCCUUUUGUUUUUUAACUAUGGUCAUCAAUCAUUAUAUUACGUACAUUUUUUUGGUAAUAAGAAAACGAAUUAUUUAACUAACAUUUUGUAGAGGAAUUGAAAGUACAAACAUGCUAUCCAGCCUUAACUGGUGAAGGACCAAAAAGGGAGCUGUAUGGAAAAUUUGUGCGCCAACUGGGAAAUCAUUCAUCAUUCCAGCCAACAAGUGAGAGACAUAAUUCACCUCCCUUGGAAUCUGCUCAAAACCAACUCUCCAUUUACGACUACAUAACCCUUGAAUCCUUAGAACCAAAUCUCUAUGUAAAUACCCUCUCAAACCACCAUUGAUACUUUUAAUAGUAAGUUCGCAAUCCAUUUUGACAUCUCUCCAUUAAGCAUCCCACGCAAUGAUAAGAUUGUCAUAAAUUACACAUACCACUCAACACCAUACCUACCGGUAUUUCUACCUAUCCCAUACAUCCAAUUAUAGUAAUCAUCCCUUGACACUACUACCGAGGCGACUAAACUUGAAACCGGACUACAAGCACCAUCAAUAUUCAAUUUAAUGGAUCCCGAAUGAGGUGGAACCCACAUUCGAUCCCCAUUGUAGGAUAAUUAUAUAAAUAUAUGCUUAAAUUAUAUAUGCAACUCUAUUAAUUGUAUUUGAAAAUUUAAAAGAAAAAAUACUAAUAAUUACAAAAUCAUAAAAGGAAGGUUGGUGAGCAAAAAAGGAAAGAAAAAAAUGCAUGCAAGAAUAAAUCUGAUAAUUUUAAAUACAAUAUAGUUAUAAAACAAUACAAAAAAUUUAUAAAAUAUAUAAAUACAGAAUAAAAUAUACAAAUAAUUAUAUUUUUUCAGUGAAGACUAAGGAGGGUUUGGGAUUUCAAACAGGUAAGGAAAACAUGGUUCGUAUUUUGGUUUUCCUUUGGUUGGGACUGCAAUUCUUAAACAGCAACUCCCUUCCACAUAAGUUGUAGGCCCCACCUUUUACUUCCUUAUUUUUUCUUAUUAAAAAUAAUUUUAAAAAAUUACAAUUUUAAAUAUUUUUUCCUUCAGCUAUAAUUUCACUCCUCUUUCACCCAUUUUUUUUAUAAGCUCUCUCUCUCUAUCACUCUCUAAGUGAAUAUAAACUAUAGCUAGAGAAAGAGAGAAUUUGAAGCAAAUUGAGCUUUUGUUUUGUUAAUUUGAUCCUCAAAUAGCUAAAAGCUUCAGCCCCAUUGUUAUCCAAUUUGUAAGCAUUUUUUUCGUUUCUUUUAUGAUGGUUUGUAGAUUCAUUUUCAACUUUCUCAUUUCCAUUGUUAAAGCUUAUGGUUUCUUUUUCUUUUUCUUUUUUUUUGUUUUUUAUUGAAUUUUUCUUUAAGGGCAACAUCUACUCUGAAAUGAGAGUAAACCCUUUUUAUUAUUAUUUGAAAUGUAUUGAUUUUAGUGAAGGCUAGAUCAUUUAUCUUGGUUCAUUUUGGAGCUAAAUUUAGAUUUAAUUUUCACUGUUGAUUGUAGAAAAAAGGUGGCAUGUGAUUGACUCUUGAUGAAUUUUCUUACAGUUUCUCACUAUUUCUUAACUUUAUAUGUGUUCAUAGAAGUCAAAUAAAAAGAUAACAUUGUUUGGAUGAUUAUCAUUUCUCAUUAAUGUUAUAGAUUUUAAUUUUCAGGUUAUUUCUGAUUCGUAAAGAGCAUCAAGUUGUAAGUUUUAUCAGAUUGUUUGAUUCUUAAUUCUUUGUUUUGAUUACUAGACUGUUCUUGUUAUGAGUGUUGUUUUUGAUGAUAAGCAUUAUUUUGUCUUUUUUUUUGUGAUAAUCUUUUUUUUUUGCUUUGUUUGGGUUGAUAGAAGGGUGCUAUUCCUUUUCUUCUAAAUUGAGUUUCUUUUUUUCCCUUGAGAUUAGCAUGAAUAGUGUAUUUUAGCUCCCUACAAUUGAUUUAUGCAGGGAUUUUAUAAUAAUUUUUUGUUGAAUUUUAUGGAAUUUUACGAUAUGUGAAUUGGUGCAUUUCCUAUAUAAACCAUUUUAUUUCUCUCUCUCUCUCUCUCUCUCUAUAUAUAUAUAUAUUUCAUGUAAUGACUGACCAAUUUUACAUAUUAUUAUUAUUAUGAAGAACAAAAGAGAAGGUUUUUGGUGCUCUCACAAAGCUAGAACUAGUAAGAAGAUAGAAGAUCUUAUGGCGAAAAUGGGUGCCAAAGUACUCAAAGGUGACGAGAAGAAGGAAAAAAGGGAGGAUAUGUGGCUUGCCCAAAUUGGCCAACAAGAAAGCCACUACUAUGCUUGGGACAAUUCAGAAUCAAGUUUAUUGAUCCACCAGCUUGGACGAGACAUCUCAAUUAACUGUCUCCUCCGUUGCUCAAGGUCUGAUUAUGGCAUCAUUGCAACUUUGAGUACAGGUUUCCACUCUCUUAUACGGAGUGGUGAGCUGUACAAGUUGAGGCGACAAAUGGGAAUUGUUGAACAUUGGGUUUACUUCUCUUGCAACCUUCUAGAGUGGGAGACUUUUGAUCCAAUCCAUCAUCGAUGGAUGCAUAUGCCUAAAAUACAAGCCAAUGAAUGUUUCAUGUGUUCUAGUAAGGAGUCAUUGGCUGUUGGGACCGAACUUCUAGUUUUUGGAAAAGAAAUAAUGUACCCUAUUGUCUAUAAAUAUAGCAUUUUGACGCAUACAUGGACAACUGGGAUGAGGAUGCAUACACCUAGGUGCUUGUUUGCAUCUGCCAGUUUGGGUGAAAUAGGAAUUAUAGCUGGUGGUUGUGAUCUGUAUGGAAAUAUUUUGAGCUCAGCAGAGCUUUAUAAUUCUGAAACUGGCAGGUGGGAGACCAUUCCAAGCAUGAAUAAGGCUAGAAGAAUGUGUUCUGCGGUGUUCAUGGAGGGGAAGUUUUAUGUUAUUGGUGGCAUUGGGGUUGAGAGUUUGAAGACAAUAACAUCCGGAGAGGUGUAUGAUUUGAAGACCCAGACUUGGAGUGAGAUACCUAACAUGUACCCUACACCAAAUGAGGGGGCUGGACCAACAGAAGAGCCUUUUAUAGCUGAGGGACCUCUUCUAGUGGCAGUUGUGAAUGAUGUGUUGUAUUUAGCUGAUUAUGUAUUGAAGCAAGUGAAGAAAUAUGACAAGGAGAAGAACUUCUGGGUAACGAUAGGGCCAUUCCCUAAACGUAUAGCCUCAAUGUAUGGGUGGGGGAUAGCAUUUAGGGCAUGCGGAGAUCAACUAAUGAUUAUUGGAGGACCUAGGGUUUUAGGUGCAGGGUUUGUUGAGAUCAACUCUUGGGUCCCAAAGGAGGGUCUACUAGAAUGGAACUUGGUUGCCAGAAAGCCCUCUAGCAAUUUUGUGUAUAACUGUGCUGUCAUGGGAUGCUGACAUGUGCAUCUAGUUUCAGUGGCACCAUGUUAUUGCAUAAAGUCUUUUCUGCUACAACCCACAGAUACAGUCAUAAGAAGAGGCUUGAGGAUUUGGGCCCUUCUUAGUUUUAUUAUGUUUUAUAACUUUCCUUCCAUUUUCUUUCUUGUUCCUUUUGUUGGGUGGUUGCCAUCAGGGUUUGUUAAAGUUUGUGUUAUGUAGAACAAAGCAUAGUUCCAUAACAAAGUCCAAUUACAUUUUAGGCUAUUUUCAAUGUUAAGCAAGUUUUUUUGAGCAAAUAUUAGUCUCAAUCAAUUAUUGAAGACACACAUAUAUUUAUAACAGUUUACCCAUUCCAUACUCUUUCUUCCAAGGAAAGAAAAAGAUAAAAAUGACGUAUGAUCAUGAAAAGUUUAAUCCUUUCCUCUAGUUAGAGUUGGAGCAGUAGCGGGAGGGAGAAGAUGGAGAGAGGGGGGGAAGAAAGAGAUUUUUUUGUUCAUUUGAUAUUAACUUCAACUUUGGGUAUAUAUAAUUUUUUAUGAAUGCAUGAAGUUGAAUUUUAAGGAAAGCUAAUUUAAAGUAACAUGGAUUCAUUUGAACUUAUUCAUUGAAGUAUAUGCUCAACAAUUUGAUAUUUAUUUUUGAAGUAUGAGUUGAACCCAAAAUCGAAUUUGAAUGUAUUUCUUUUUCUACAUACUAUAUAUUUUUCUUUUUUAAAUAGUAUGUAUCUUUUAAAUAAAAAUAUUAUUAUUAAUAGGAAUCAUGAAUAAUAAUAAUCAAAGACAUGAUACCUAGUAUAAAUUAUAAAUAAAUCGUUACAAACUAACACAAAUGCCUUUUUUACUGAAUAAUUUCAAAAAAAAAAGAGAAGGACAAUUUGACAGUAACUACAACAGUGGAAUAAUUGCAUCAACUUGAUCAAAAAGAAAAUGAAAUAGUGACGCCACGUCAUCUGUAUCCAUUUCUAAUAGUUUUAUGCCAUAUCAGUAUUCUUAUCCUGAAUUUCAGGAUUUUAUCCUGAAUUUUAGUAUUUUAAUUUGGAUUUGAUUUUUUUCAGGAUAAAAUCCUGAAAUUCAGGAUAAGAGUACUGAUGUGGCAUAAAACUAUUGAAAAGGGAUACAGAUGACAUGGCAUCACUGUUUCAUACAAUCCUUUCCCCUUGAUAAAAUUAUUGAAAUUUACACCCUAACCUUGUCAUCAUCAAAUGAACUUGAUGAUGAACACCGAUCAACCAAGAAAACUUCCAAAAGACACACCAUAUUAGAAAUGCACAAAAGGCGAAGUCUCAGAUGACCUAUCCCCAUCCUCAUCAUAUUGGAACUAUCAUCAUCACAAUGAUCUAACAUGAUAAAGCAUUUCGAGAACAAAUCUUAAAAGAUCUGGCAACACCCUUAUAUUGAAAAACUUCACAUAUAUGCCAGAACACGACUUAAAAUAGAAAGUAAAAAUACAACCACAUCUGUUUUAAAAGAAAACAGAGUGGACAAAACAAAAACCACAAAUAAUGUGGACAAAAUAAAACUACAAAGUGUGGACAAAACUGCGAUAAUGUGGACUGAAAUUGAAAACAAAAUAGAAGUACAAAAGAUAUUGAAGAAACCGCGACCAAAAACCAACCCAAAAGCCAACGCCACCAAUGAAGCAAAGAUUUCACUUGAAAAAGUUGAGCGGCUAGGGUUUUUCUAUGAAAAGAAGAGAGAAAAAGGAGAGGGGGAAAUAUUUGCCAUUACUUUUAAAUAGUAUGUACUUAAAUUGACUUGAUUAAAACUUUCAUUAUGAUUGACUUUAAACCGUUAUAAGUUACUAAAGUUAAGGGAAUUUAUUUUAACUUAUUUAUGAAUAUGUUAAAAUAAAAUGGUUUUUUCAUAUUUAAUCGAUAAAGUCUUAAUUGCUUUAUUCAAAAUAAUUAAUAGAACAUAAGAACAGUAAUCUAGAUUCGAUCAUUGUGGAAGAUGACAAAUAAUAGAUAUAAUUAUAUCAAUUUUUUAAUAAAUUCAAUUAUUAUACUUCCACCAAAACUUUAAUUUAGUCGAAAUCCCUUUUUGUUGAUUAUGUUUUCUUAAUUUGUUUUCACAGUAUCUAAUUUGACACGAUCAAAACCCUAAUUAAGAUCAAGAUUAUAAUGUCAACCAAGUCAAUAGGGUUUAUGCUUACUUUUUCAUGCAUAUACGUUAAGAUAAAUGUUUUUUUAUUCACAUUUGAUAAAAAAAGAAGUAGUUGUUUUAUUCAAUAAUUGAUAGAAGAUAAUAACAUUAAUCAAGAUCUGAUUAUUGUGAAAAGUAUUUUCCUCUAAAAUCGUUGAGUAAGAUCACCAUAUCUUACUCCACCAAUACAAUCUAAUCUUACAGAUGUCAAACAACUAAUGAAUGUCGAGAUGUUUACCAUUAAAACAAGGGUGAAGCUAAAAAAAAUUUAUUGGAAGGUGAAGAUUGAAUUUGGGGGGGUUUACCAUUUAAUUAAUUGUCAAGUUCACAAAUUUUGAGGAUUAAAAGAGAAAUUUUACCAAGCCAAUAGGGGCUAAGGACCUUGCCUACCCCUUUGGUGCCAUCAUUGCAUUAAAGACAAUCUCAUUUUGAUAGAUCCAAAUAGACUAUGAAAUAAAAUAACAAAGAAAGACAUUUUCCAAAUAUGCCUAGUUCGUUGAAAAUGAAAAUUUUGUAGUCAACUUUGAAAAAAAGAUAGUUGGGUUCUUUGGAAGGACCAAAUGAAUACUCUAAAUAACGCAACACUUUUAGAAUAACCUCCAUGAAACAUUACACUCAAAAAACAAGUGAUCAACCAAAUCUGAACUUGCAUGAUAGAAAGUGCAAGUCGUAGAAUCAAAGAGGAAUAACCUCUCUUAGCUGGCCCAUAUUUUGUAGGAUGCCUACCAUAAAGUAAUCAUCAUACAAACAUUUCCAUCUUAAGAUGGGUCAAUCUAGACUUUGUUUCGACUAGUUAUUCUUGUAACACGAUCUGAGCUACGAAAUGCUACAUUUGUUUCUGGAACAACUACAAUCAAUCUGACAACACAAUCAUUUAUACAUGAAAUCAUGAUUUAUCAUAUUCAAAUUUAUGUUAAACGAUCGAUUCUGAAUCUUAAUCGAGCUUAAGAAAGCUCUUUAAACAAUUCGAGUAUGAAACAUGACCAAUUUGCAAAGUUCACACAAGACUCUAUUGGCAUGCCAAUUAUAUCCUGACAUUUACAAAGUUCACAUAGGCAUCUUUAACACAUGUAAAUAUUUCUGUUCAAUUUGGUCCAAUUCUAGCCUUUUAAACCAAUUCCAACUAAACACAUGUAUAAUUACAAAUCAAAUGUAUAAAAACCUAUAUAAACAAAUACCAUAUGAACUUAUCUGAUUAACAACAAACAAAUUGAAUCUUCAGGGACUAAUCGACAAUUUUAGAUUUUUCUCGAUUAUCUUCGGUUUGAUCGAAUUCUUAAUCUAUACAAUUAUUCCAUUCAACCACAUAAAAAAGCUUACAAACACCCUCUAAUACUAUGAACCUGAAGCUCCAAAAGAGACUUCUCUUGAUCAAAGUAUUCACUUUUCUUAAAGGCAUUUCCAUUCUUCACAGUUUCACUAUUCUCCAUUCAUGUUUACUCCUUUUUAGUACCUUUCUUGCUUCUAUUGUUUUAUAACAUGACCAUGAUAACCAAAAAUUUUCCAUAACCCUUUCCAAAAGAGUUUUUUUUUUUGGUAAUCUCUCCAUGAAAAUUAUUGAACACCCUUUAGUCCCUCCACAAAACCAAAACACCAUCUCGAAAUAAUCUCAAUUGCUACAUAUAAAGUAAGGUUUUUUUUUCACAUUGGAUUAGAAAAAUACUAAUUUCUUUAAUCAAAAUAAUUAAUAGAACAUAAGAACAUCGACCAAGGUCCGAUCAUUUUUUUUGUCGAAUCCAGAGUAUCCACCGCCAAUAGUGAUGACUAUAUACUCUCACUACAGGUGCUAUUGAAAGAGGUAAACGACUGGCCAAGAAAUGUACUCCAUUCCCAUGGGCGGGGAUCAAACCCUCGACCUCAUGGUCAUGGAGAAUCCGAUUGUUUUGAAAAACAACAAAAAAUAAAUACAUUUGUAUUAAUUUUUGAAGUAAAAAUUCAUUUAAAUGUGAUUUGAAUGAAAUCUUAAUUUAGAUCAAAUUCUUUUUUUACCAAUUAUAUUUCUUUAUUUGUUUCCAUAGUAUUGAUCUGACUCGAUCAAAGCCCUAAUUAGGAUGAACAAUAAAAGAUUAAAAUUCAAUUAAACUUAUUGACGUAUAUGUGUUAAAAUAAAAGUAUUUUUAUUCACAUCCGAUCGAAAAAGUGCUAGUUGAUUUAUUCAAAAUAAUUAAUAGAACAUAAGAACAUUAAUCAAGGUUCGAUCAUUUUGAAAAAACAAAAAAAAUGUAUACGAUUAUGUUAAAUUUUGAAGUACAAGCUCAUUUAAUUUAAUGUGAUUCGGCUGAAACUGUAAUUUAGAUGAAAUUCUUUUAUUUUAUUUGGUUUGACUCAAUUAAGGCCUUAUGUUUAAAUAAAAUGAGGAAGGAAUGCACGUACUAGGGUUUUAUGGCCAAAUAGGAACAAGAACCCUUUUGUUUUUAACUGUGGUCAUCAAUCAUCAUAUUACGGUACAUUUUUUUUGUAACAAAAAAAAAGAUUAUUCAACUAACAGUUUGUAGCAGGAAUCGAAAGCACAAACAUGCUAUCCAUCCUUAAUUGAGGAAGGGCCAAAGAGGGAGCUGUAUGGAAAUUUGGGCGCCAACCAGGAAAUCCUUCAUCAUUCUAUCCAACAAGUGAACGACAUAAUUCACCUCUCUUGGAAUCUGCUGAAAACCAAUUCUCCAUUCACGACUAUAUAACUCCCAAAUUCUUAGAACCAAAUCUCUAUAUAAAGACCCUCUCAAACCACCUUUGAUACUUUUAAUAGCAAGUGCACAAUUCGUUUCAACAUAUUUCCAUCUAGCAUCCAACGCCAUAAUAAGACCAUCAUAAAUUACCUAUACCUCCGCUUAUUUAAUAGUAUACCUAUCGAUAUUUCUACCUAUCCCACACACACAAUUAUUGUACUCAUCUCUAGCUACUACUGCCGAGGCGACUAAACCUUAAAUCGGUAUACAAGCACCAUCGAUAUUCAAUUUAAUGAAUCCUGAAGGAGGUGGAACCCACAUUCGAUCCCCAUUGUAGGAUAAUUAUAUAAAUAUAUGCUUAAAGUAUAUAUGCAACUCUAUUAAUUGUGUUUGAAAAUUUAAAAAAAAAUACUAAUCAUUACAAAUAUCACAAAAGGAAGGUUGGUGAGAAAAGUAGAAAAAAAAAUAUGCUUGCAAAAACAAAUCUGAUAAUUUUAAAUACAAUAUAAUUAUAAAACAAUAAAAAAAUUUAUAAAAAAUAUAAAUACAUAAAUAAAUAUACAAAUAAUUAUAUUUUUCAAUGAAGACUAAGGAGGGUCUGGAAUUUCAAACACGUGAGGAAAACAUGGUUCGUAGUUGGUUUUUCUUUGGCUGGGACUGCAAUUCUUAGACAGCAACUCCCUUUCAUAGAAGUUGUAGGCCCCACCUUUUCCUUUUUUUUUGUUAAAAAUAAUUAAAAAAAUUACAAUUUUAAAUUUUUUUUCCUUCAGCUAUAAUUUCACUUCUCUUUCAACCAUUUUUUUUAUAAGCUCUCUCUCUCUUACACUCUCUGAGUGAAUAUAAACUAUAGCUAGAGAAAGAGAGAAUUUGAAGCAAAUUGAACUUUUGUUUUGUUAAUUUGAUCCCCGAAUAGCUAAAAGCUUAAGCCCCUUUGUUAUCCAAUUUGUUAGCCUUUUUUUUUUGUUUCUUUUAUGAUGGUUUGUGGAUCCAUUUUCAACUUUCUCAUUUCCAUUGUUAAAGCUUAUGGUUUAUUUUUUUUUUCUUUUUGUUUUUUUAUGGAAUUUCCCUUUAAGGGCAAUAUCUACUAUGAAAUGAGAGUAAACCCUUUUUUAUUAUUUGAAAUGUAUUGAUUUUAGUGAAAGGUAAAUCAUUUAUCUUGGUUACAUUUUGGAGCGAAACUUAGAUUUGAUUUUCACUUUUGAUUGUUAAAAAAUAUGGCUUGUGAUUGACUCUUGAUGAAUUUUAUUUCUUUUUCUCACCAUUUCUUAACUUUAUAUGUGUUCAUAGAAAUGAAAUAAAAAGAUAACAUCUUUUGGAUAAUUAUCAUUUCUAAUUAAUGUUAUAGAUUUUAAUUUUCAGGUUAUUUUUGCUUCGUAAAGAGCAUCAAGUUGUAAGUUUUAUCAGAUUGUUUGAUUGUAAAUGUAAUACCCCUACCCGUAUUCAUUGUCAGAAUAGGGUACGAGGCAUUACCGGAGUUUACGAAUUAAUUUUUUUUAUAUUCAAUAUAGCCCUUUUAUAAAUAUCUAACCUUCCCUGUAAUAUUAAAUCGAGAGCAAUCCACAUCAACCAAAUCAAUUCAACAUAUUUUCAUGAUAGAUUCAUGCAUUUAUAUAAGAUAACGUCAUCACAUAUCUAUAACCAGGUUUGUUAACCAUACUAAUGGCUAACUUUACAUUCAUUUCACGUUAACAUUUACUUUGUUAGCUUAUACAUGCCAUUGAUUUCCAAAAUAAAGUUUCUUUAUAUACUGAAAUCCUGAGGUUGACAGUGUGAUGUGUCUCCGACCAAAUCCGACCUUCGAGCUCUUAACACUACAAAACAGGGAAAAAGGAAACGGGGUAAGCACUUCGUGCUUAGUAAGCUCAUGUAACAAGAAUUAUACUUACCUAAUAUUUUCAAUACAAUACAAUAAACAUCCAUAUAUCCAUUAAAUGCAUUAUUACCCUAAUAUGCGAAACUCAACAUUCAAGUUAGUACAAUAAUUUCCAUGUACCAAUAAUAUAUACUAUGAUUGAUGAGCUCGUCAAUACCAUGAUUUCCAUUUCCUUGUUAUUUUUCCAUAUUUAUCCCGUUGAAUUUAUCGGAAUUUCGAUAGAUUUUCAGAGGUACACUUUUAGUGUACAAUUCCGGGUCCGUCAAUUCAUAUUCAUGUGCGCGCAUUUCAAUUUCAGAGAGCACACUCCCGCGAACCUCAACCUUGCAGCGGGAUUACCAGUCCAGGCUAAAUCCCCUGCAACGACAAUUACUCUAAUGAGCUUGGAUCUGAAUUACCAAUCCAGGCUAAAUUCAUACCUUAAUUUAGAUUACCCGUCCGGGCUAAAUCCAUUUUACACAUAUUCUUCGGGAGGGCUAUAUCAGGAUAGGAUCACCCGUCCGGGCUAGAUCCUUUUUACCGUCAAUUCCUUUUCAGAGAUCCAUCGAAUUUUCCUUUCAUUCAACCGGGAUUUCUUUCAAUUUUAUCAAAUAUAUCCAUGUUUCAUUAAUUUUCAUACAAUGAACAUUCAAAUGAUAUUCAAACCAAUAACAUACAUUUCAAGCAUUUAAGAAUAUAAUUCAAGUUACACGAACUUACCUUGAUACUUGUUUGUAAACAGUAAAAAUAUACUAAUCCCAAAAUUUUUCCUUUCCUCGAUCUAGCUUCGUAUUUGAAUCUUCUGGAUCUAAAUAAAUAAAUUUAAUUAUCAAUUUAAUACAUUUCAUGUUCAUAUGCAACAUUCUCUAUAAUUCAACUAUUAUUUAUAGUUCAUUCAAAGCUAUCUACUUGAGUCAUAGUCACUAAAUUAUUUAUAACUGGAGCUACAGAACUCAAAAUUAAGAUCCGUUAAUUUUCCCUGAAACUAAACUCAUAUAUAUUUUUAACAUAAAAUUUUCAGAAUUUUUGGUUUAGCCAAUCAGUACAGUUUAUUCUUCAAAGUCACCCCUGUUCUGUUGUCUAACAGUUCUAACCCUUCUUCACUAAAAAUAAAUUAUCUCUUUAUACAGAAUUCAAAUGAUGUUCUCGUUUGUUUCUAUUAAAAAUAGACUCAUUCAGAAUUCUAGACAUAUAAAUUUAAGUCCCUAAUUAUUUUUAUUCAAUUUUUUAUAACUUUUCAAAGUCAGAACAGGGGAACCCGAAUUCAUUCUGACCUUGUCUCACAAAAUUCAUUAUAUCUCAAAAUUUACAGAUCCAUUGCUUACAAUAUUUCUUCUAUGAGAAACUAGACUCAAUAAGCUUUAAUUCCAUAUUUUGUUCAUCUUCUAAUUCGAUUCCUACAAUUUUUUGGUAAUUUUUAAAAGUUAGUCUACUGCUGCUGUCCAAACUGUUUUAGUGCAAGCUGUUUAUUACCAUUUUUCCCCUAAGCUUUUAAUAAAUGAUAAUUUCGUCCCUACUCAAUUAGCCUCUCAAUUGAGCUGAUUUUUCUCAAUUAACAUUUUAUUCUAUCACCUCAAACUAGUUUACAACCUUUAGGAAUCAUAAUUUCGGCAAUAGACUUUAAUUCCAAACAUUUUCACAAUUAGGUCCUAAAAAUCAAUUUCUAUUGAAAUUACCUAAUAAAAUCAUCUCAUAAACAAAUUAAAGCUUUAAUUUCAUUCUAUUUCAUCAUAAAAUUACAGCACUCAACCAUGGUGACUUUCAAUUUCAUCCAUGAAAUCAAAAACUAAUGAAUUUAAUAGUAGGACCUAGUUGUAAAAGUCUUAGAAACAAAAAAAUUACAAGAAAAAGGCAAGGAUUAACUCAUUUGGUGCAAAAAUUAUGAAAUACCAGCUUAGAGAACCCUCCUAUGGCAUUUUUAGCUGCUGGAAUUGAAGAGAAAUGAAGAGAAAUCUAGAUAUUUCCUAUUUAGUCCUAGUUUUAUUUAGUUAAUUUUGCAAUAUUCCAAUUUUACCCUUAAUUUAUCAAUUUUUCUGCUGAUUUCAUACCCUUGCAGUCCAGCCCAAAUAAAUUUUGGGUCUAAUUGCCUUUUAAGUCCUUUCUCAUUAGACUCUUAAGCUAUUUAAUCACUCUAGCAACUUUUAUACCUAUUACAAUUUAGUCCUUUUCAUUUAAUUGACUACCCAAACAUUAAAAUUUCCUAACGAAAUUUUAAUACCAAAUUAAUAACAUUUCAUAAAUAUUUAUAAAAUUAUUUUCGACUCGGUUUUACGAGAUAGAAGUCCCGAUACCUUAUUUUACCCAAUUUCUUCAAUAAUUUCUUUUUAUAACUAAUCACUAAAUCGAUAAAAUUUUCCUAUCAAUAUUUUUAUACGAUUUUCCUAUCAUAUCAAUUUUCAAUCAAAAAUAUUGAAAUAAAUUUCUCUUUAAAUCGGAUCUAUGGUUACGAAACCAUUGUUCCGAUAACCUUGAAUUUAGGCCAUUACAACUCUCCCCCCCUUUUAAGGAUUUUCGUCCUCAAAAAUCUUACCAGUAAAGAGGUUUGGGUAUUGUUUCCUCAUUGCCUCCUCCGGUUACCAUGUUGCUUUCUCAAUCCCGUGCUUUUGCCACAAUACUUUCACUAAAUUUAUCUUUUUAUUUCUAAGCUCUUUUGUCUCCCGUGCCAAUAUCUUGACCGGUUCUUCACUGUAAGUCAUACCCGGUUGAAUCUCUACUUCUAUCGGAGAAAUAACAUGUGAAGGAUCUGAUCGAUAUCGUCGUAACAUAGAUACAUGAAAAACAUUAUGGAUUCUAUCAAGUUCCGGUGGUAAUGCCAAUCGAUAAGCGACCGGUCCAAUUCUUUCUAUGAUUUCAUAGGGCCCGAUAAAUCUUGGACUCAAUUUACCCUUUCGACCGAAUCGAAGAACUUUCUUCCAAGGAGACACUUUCAGAAAUACCUUGUCACCGACUUGAAAUUCAAUCUCUUUUCGCUUAAGGUUGGCAUAUGAUUUUUGACGAUCGGAAGCUGCUUUUAGACUAUCUCGAAUAACCUUUACUUUUUCUUCUGUUUCCCGGAUCAAAUCAACCCCAUGUAUCUUCCUUUCACUGAGCUCUGUCCAAUAUAACAGUGUUCUACAUUUUCUACCAUACAAAGCUUCAUACGGAGCCAUUUUAAUGCUAGACUGAUAACUGUUAUUGUAAGCAAAUUCAAUCAAAGGUAGAUACCUCUCCCAAUUACCUUCAAACUCUAGUAUACAACAUCGGAGCAUAUCUUCCAAUACUUAAAUUACACGCUCAGAUUGACCAUCUGUCUGAGGAUGAAAUACAGUGCUGAAAUACAACUGAGUACCCAAGUUUUCUUGCAAUUUGUCCCAGAAACGAGACGUAAAUCGGGGAUCUCUAUCUGAUGUAAUGGAGACAGGCACUCCAUGUAACCUGACAAUCUCAGAUAUGUACAGUUCAGCUAGUUUAUCUAAAGAAUAAUCCAUACGUACCGGAAUAAAGUGAGCUGACUUUGUUAAUCGAUCAACAAUCACCCAAAUAGCAUCUUUUUUCCUCGGAGACAAAGGUAACCCCGAUACAAAAUCCAUAGUGAUUCUUUCCCAUUUCCAUUCCGGUAUAGUAAUUGGCUGAAGUAACCCAUAAGGUACCUGAUAUUCAGCUUUAACUUGCUGACAUAUUAAACACCUUGAUACAAACUCAGAGAUAUCACGUUUCAUUCCCGACCACCAGUACAUCUUUUUCAGAUCAUUAUACAUUUUAUUACUCCCUGGAUGUACAGACAUAGUACUACUGUGGGCCUCGCGUAGAAUCUUCUGUAUGAGCUCUGAAUUCUGAGGUACACACACCCUACCUCUGAAUAAUAAACAAUCAUCAGAACCAAUCUGAAAUUCAGAAUCAUUACCUGACUCACACUGUGCCCGUUUAACCUGUAACUUCUCAUCAUUCUUUUGAGCUUCACAUAUUUGCUGUAAAAAUAUCGGUUUAGCUCUCAAUUCAGCUAGGAUUGAACCAUCAUCAGUCAAUGAUAACCGGGUAUUCAUAGCUCGUAAAGCAAACAGAGAUUUCCGGCUCAAAGCAUCAGCUACAACAUUAGCUUUACCCGGAUGGUAAUCAAUAAUCAAAUCAUAGUCCUUUAUCAGUUCAAGCCACCUGCGCUGUCUCAAAUUCAAAUCUUUCUGUGUCAUCAAAUAUUUCAAGCUUUUAUGAUCAGUAUAAAUAUGACAUUUCUCACCGUACACGUAAUGCCGUCAUAUCUUCAGCGCAAAUACAAUAGCAGCUAAUUCAAGAUCAUGUACUGGGUAAUUUCUUUCACGUGGUUUAAGUUGUCUUGAAGCAUAGGCUAUUACUUUACCUUCUUGCAUCAAAACACAACCUAAACCAUUUAAUGAAGCAUCACUGUAAAUAACAAAUUCCUUACCCGGUUCAGGCUGCACUAAUACAGGUGCUUUCGUUAAUAGGUCUUUCAAUCGGUUGAAACUUUAUUGACAUUCAUCAGUCCACUCGAACUUUACAUCUUUCUGCAAUAAUCGAGUCAUUGGAGAAGCUAUCAUAGAGAAUCCCUGUACAAAUCUCCGAUAAUAACCAGCUAAACCUAAGAAACUUCUAACUUCAGAUACAUUCUUCGGUGGACUCCAAUUGAUAAUAGCUGAGAUUUUACUUGGAUCUACCCUGAUGCCUUCGGCAGAUACAAUGUGUCCAAGAAAACCCACUUCUCGAAGCCAAAAUUCACAUUUACUGAAUUUAGCAUACAACUGCUUCUCUCGUAGAAUUUGCAACACAAUUCUCAAAUGUUCUGCAUGUUCUUCUUCAUCCCGAGAAUAAACCAAAAUAUCAUCAAUGAAUACUACUACAAAUCUAUCUAAGUACGGUCUGAAUAUCUGGUUCAUCAAAUCCAUGAAUACUGCAGGUGCAUUAGUUAGCCCAAACGGCAUAACUAGAAACUCAUAAUGCCCGUACCUGGUUCUAAAGGCUGUUUUUGGCACAUCUGACUCCUUUACCCGUAACUGAUAAUAACCUGAUCGAAGAUCAAUCUUUGAAAACAUAGUAGCACCUUUCAGCUGAUCAAAUAAAUCAUCAAUCCGGGGUAACGAGUACUUAUUCUUUAUGGUUACUUUAUUAAGCUGCCGGUAGUCGAUACACAAUCUCAAAGACCCAUCUUUCUUUUUCACAAACAGAACCGGAGCACCCUAAGGUGAAUGACUCGGUCGGACAAAACCCCUGUCAACAAGCUCUUGCAACUGUGUCUUUAACUCUUUUAAUUCUAUAGGAGCCAUCCGGUACGGAGCUAUGGAGAUCGGAGUAGUUCCCAGAAUCAAAUCUAUAGAAAAUUCCACUUCUCUUUCUGGUGGCAAUCCUGGUAAUUCUUCUGGAAACACAUAGGAAAAUUCACAUACCACUAGAACUGCCUGUAUCUUUGACUCAGAUACCUUGGUGUCGAGUACAUAAGCCAAGUAAGCAUCAUACCCCUUUUUGACAUACCUCUGUGCUGCCAUUACUGAAAUUAUAUCAGAUAAUCCCUCUGUCUGAUCAGAUUUAACCCGGAGCAACUCACCAUUCUGACAUUUUAGCACAAUAUAUUUUUGUUUACAAUUUACUACCGCAUCAUGCUGGGUUAACCAAUCCAUACCCAAUAUCACGUCAAAUUCAUCAAAUGGCAGUAACAUCAAAUCAGCCGGGAAACAAUAACCUCUUACCAUCAGUGGACAAUUUUUACAAAUUUUAUCUACUAACACAGACUGGCCCAGGGGGUUCGAGACUUUAACCACAAAUUCAGUAGAUUCAACAGAUAAAUUUUUAACAAUUGCAAGUUUAACAGAUAUAUAUGAAUGCGUAGAACCAGGAUCAAUCAAUGCAGUAAUAUCAGUAUCAAGUAAAGAAAAUGUACCAGUAAUAACAUCGGGUGUUGAAGUAUCUUCUCUGGCACGAAUGGCAUAUGUCCUAGCAGGUGCUCGUACCUCAGGCCUACCUAUAGUAUCUUUUGUAGCUCCUCGAUUACCACUGACAUUACCGAAUGGUCGAGGUGGUCUGCCCCUCGAAACUAGAUUACUCGGCUUCGAUAUAUGUUCAACUUCUUUUUCAAUCCUUUCUGGACAAUCUCUGAGGAAAUGGUCAAAAGAACCACAUCGGUAACAAGCCCCACUUUUAAAUCAGCAUUCACCAAAAUGAGCUUUAUUACAGUACUGGCAUCUCAGUUUAGGAGUGCCAACACUGCCAACACUGGUCACUGAUGGAGUAGAAGGCCUUGGAUUAGUGCGUUGAGAACCUCGCUCUUUGCCCAAAUACCCAAUGGCUGAAAUAGAACGAUCCAGAUACUUCUUCAAUUUCUUUGAAGCAGAAAACUGGGAUUUUCCCAUCGGUCUUUUACUAAAAAUUCGAGCUUCCCUCUCAGUCUGUUUCUUUUCUUUGCUCAAUUCUCCUGCUUUAUAAGCUCUCUCUGCCAAUGUAGCAAACUCUCGAAUUUCAAGAAUUUCGAUCAGUAGUUUAAUGUCUUCAUUUAACCCUUCUUCGAAUCGUUUGCAUAUUUCAGCUUCUGACUGUACCCAUUCUCGAGCAUAUUUACUCAAUCGAACAAAUUCUCUUUCAUAUUCAGAUACUGAUUUGUUACCCUGCUUCAACUCAAGAAAUUCUUUUCUUUUCUGAUCGAGAAACCUCUGGCUGAUAUAUUUUUUUCUAAACUCGGUCUGAAAGAAUUCCCAUGUAAUUUCUUCUUUCGGAACAACUGAAGCUUUAGUAUUCCACCAAUGGUAAGUUGUGUCUUUUAGCAGUGAGACGGCACAUUUCAGACAUUCUUCUGGUGUACAAGAUAAUUCUUCCAGAACCCAAGUAGUGUUUUCUAACCAGAAUUCAGCCCGUUCAGAAUCAUCAUCAACUGCUGCUCGAAAUUCUUCGGCUCCAUAUUUUCAAAUUUUAUCUACUGAAGCUUUCCCUUUUCUGACAGAUUCAGUACCUGUACCUUGUGGGAUCUCGAGAACCGGUGGAGGAGCAGGAGGGGGAGCUUAAACUUGCUGCACUACAGGGUUAGUUCUUAAGUAUUGAUUAAACCAUUCAUUCAUCAUUUGAGCCGGAGCAUGACUCCCAGCAUGACUCCCAGCUUCCUCAGAUUGAGCUCGGUAGGAUGACAUUACUAUAAGAAAAACACAUUUUAAAUGGUCAGGAGAUAUCACACUAUCAAUAAUAAUUUAAAUGGCAUGUAUAGCUAAUCCCGUAUUUGCUACAUCGGUCCUAGAACCGGCUAAACCGUAGCUCUGAUACCAAUAAAUGUAAUACCCCUACCCGUAUUCAUUGCCGGAAUAGGGUACGAGGCAUUACCGGAGUUUACGAAUUAAAUUUUUUUUUAUAUUCAAUAUAGCCCUUAAUAAAUAUCUAACCUUCCCUAUAAUAUUAAAUCGAGACCAAUCCACAUCAACCAAAUCAAUUCAACAUAUUUUCAUGAUAGAUUCAUGCAUUUAUAUAAGAUAACGUCAUCACAUAUCUAUAACCAGGUUUGUUAACCAUACUAAUGGCUAACUUUACAUUCAUUUCACGUUAACAUUUACUUUGUUAGCUUAUACAUGCCAUUGAUUUUCAAAAUAAAGUUUCUUUAUAUACCGAAAUCCUGAGGUUGACAGUGUGAUGUGUCUCCGACCAAAUCCGACCUUCGAGCUCUUAACACUACAAAACAGGGAAAAAGGAAACGGGGUAAGCACUUCGUGCUUAGUAAGCUCAUGUAACAAGAAUUAUACUUACCUAAUAUUUUCAAUACAAUACAAUAAACAUCCAUAUAUCCAUUAAAUGCAUUAUUACCCCAAUAUGCACAAACUCAACAUUCAAGUUAGUACAAUAAUUUCCAUGUACCAAUAAUAUAUACUAUGAUUGAUGAGCUCGUCAAUACCAUGAUUUCCAUUUCCUUGUUAUUUUUCCAUAUUUAUCUCGUUGAAUUUAUCAGAAUUUCGAUGGAUUUUCAUAGGUACACUUUUAGUGUACAAUUCCGGGUCCGUCAAUUCAUAUUCAUGUGCGCACAUUUCCAUUUCAGAGAGCACACUCCCGUAAACCUCAACCUUGCAGCGGGAUUACCAGUCCAGGCUAAAUCCCUUGCAAUAUAAACUCAUAGAGUAUUGUCGGGAUUACCAGUCCAGGCUAAAUCCCCUGCAACGACAAUUACUCUAAUGAGCUUGGAUCUGAAUUACCAGUCCAGGCUAAAUUCAAACCCUAAUUCAGAUUACCCAUCUGGGCUAAAUCCAUUUUACACAUAUUCUUCGGGAGGGCUAUAUCAGGAUAGGAUCACCCGUCCGGGCUAGAUCCUUUUUACCGUCAAUUCCUUUUCAGAGAUCCAUCAAAUUUUCCUUUCAUUCAACCGGGAUUUCUUUCCAUUUUAUCAAAUAUAUCCAUGUUUCAUUAAUUUUCAUACAAUGAACAUUCAAAUGAUAUUCAAAUCAAUAACAUACAUUUCAAGCAUUUAAGAAUAUAAUUCAAGUUACACGAACUCACCUUGAUACUUGUUUGUAAACAGUAAAAAUCUACUAAUCCCAAACUUUUUCCUUUCCUCGACCUAGCUUCGUAUUUGAAUCUUCUGGAUCUAAAUAACUAAAUUUAAUUAUCAAUUUAAUACAUUUCAUGUUCAUAUGCAACAUUCUCUAUAAUUCAACUAUUAUUUAUAGUUCAUUCAAAGCUGUCUACUUGAGUCAUAGUCACUAAAUUAUUUAUAACUUGAGCUACGGAACUCCAAAUUAAGAUCCGUUAAUUUUCACUGAAACUAGACUCAUAUAUAUUUUUAUCAUAAAAUUUUCAUAAUUUUUGGUUUAUCCAAUCAGUACAGUUUAUUCUUCAAAGUCACCCCUAUUCUGUUGUCUAACAGUUCUGACCCUUCUUCACUAAAAAUAAAUUAUCUCUUUAUACAGAAUUCAAAUGAUGUUCUCGUUUAUUUCUAUUAAAAAUAGACUCAUUCAUAAUUCUAGACAUAUAAAUUUAAGUCCCUAAUUAUUUUUAUUCAAUUUUUUAUAACUUUUCAAAGUCAGAACAGGGGAACCCGAAUUCAUUCUGACCUUGUCUCACAAAAUUCAUUAUAUCUCAAAAUUUACAGAUCCAUUGCUUACAAUAUUUCUUCUAUGAGAAACUAGACUCAAUAAGCUUUAAUUCCAUAUUUUGUUCAUCUUCUAAUUCGAUUCCUACAAUUUUUUGGUGAUUUUUCAAAGUUAGUCUACUGCUGCUGUCCAAACUGUUUUAGUGCAAGCUGUUUAUUACCAUUUUUCCCCUAAACUUUUAAUAAAUGAUAAUUUCAUCCCUACUCAAUUAGCCUCUCAAUUGAGCUGAUUUUUCUCAAUUAACAUUUUAUUCUAUCACCUUAAACUAGUUUACAACCUUUAGGAAUCAGAAUUUCGGCAAUAGACUUUAAUUCCAAACAUUUUCACAAUUAGGUCCUAAAAAUCAAUUUCUAUUGAAAUUACCUAAUAAAAUCAUCUCAUAAACAAAUUAAAGCUUUAAUUUAAUUCUAUUUAAUCAUAAAAUUACAGAACUCAACCAUGGUGACUUUCAAUUUCAUCCAUGAAAUCAAAAACUAAUGAAUUUAAUAGUAGGACCUAGUUGUAAAAGUCUUAGAAACACAAAAAUUACAAGAAAAAGGCAAGGAUUAACUCACUUGGUGCAAAAACUAUGAAAUACCAGCUUAGAGAACCCUCCUAUGGCAUUUUUAGCUGCUGGAAUUGAAAAGAAAUGAAGAGAAAUCUAGAUAUUUCCUAUUUAGUCCUAGUUUUAUUUAGUUGAUUUUGCAAUAUUCCAAUUUUACCCUUAAUUUAUCAAUUUUUCUGCUGAUUUCAUACCCUUGCAGUCCAGCCCAAAUAACUUUUGGGUCUAACUUCCUUUUAAAUCCUUUCUCAUUAGACUCUUAAGCUAUUUAAUUACUCUAGCAACUUUUACAUCUAUUACAAUUUAGUCCUUUUCAUUUAAUUGACUACCCAAAUAUUAAAAUUUCCUAACGAAAUUUUAAUACCAUAUUAAUAACAUUUCAUAAAUAUUUAUAAAAUUAUUUUCGACUCGGUUUUAUAAGAUAGAGGUCUCGAUACCUUAUUUUACCCAAUUUCUUCAAUAAUUUCUUUUUAUAACUAAUCACUAAAUCGAUAAAAUUUUCCUAUCAAUAUUUUCAUACGAUUUUCCUAUCAUAUCAAUUUUCAAUCAAAAAUAUUGAAAUAAAUUUCUCUUUAAAUCGGAUCUAUGGUUACGAAACCAUUGUUCCGAUAACCUUGAAUUUAGACCAUUACACUUAAUUCUUGACUUUGAUUACUUGACUAUUCUUGUUAUGAGUGUUACUUUUGAUGAUAAGCAUUAUUUUGUCUUUUUUUUUUUGGUGAUAUAUAUAUGCUUAGUUUGGGUUGAUAGAAUUGUACUAUUCCUUUUCUUCUAAAUUGAGUUCUUUUUUUUCCCUUGAGAUUAGCAUGAAUAUUUUUUUAUUUUAGUGCUCCUACAAUUGAUUUCUGCAAGAUUUUAUAAUAAUUUUUUAUUGAAUUUUAUGGAAUUCUAUGAUAUGUGAAUUGGUGCAUUUCCUAUAUAAACCAGUCUCUUUCUCUUUAUAUAUAUAUUUAUAUUUCAUAUAGUGACUAAUCAGUUUUACAUAUUAUUAUCAUAAAGAACGAAAGGGAAGGUUUCUGGUGCUCUCAUAAAGCUAGAACUAGUAAGAAGACAGAGAAGAUCUUAUGGCAAAAAGGGGUGUCAAAGUACUCAAAGGUGACAAGAAAAAGGAAAAAAAUGGAGGAUAUGUGGCUUGUCCAAAUUGGCCAACAAGUUUACUAAUCCACUAGCUUGGGCAAGACAUCUUGAUUAACUGUCUCCUCCAUUGCAUAAGGUCGGAUUAUGGCAUCAUUGCAACUUUGGAUACGGGUUUCCACUCUCUUAUAUAGAGUGGUGAGCUGUACAAGUUGAGGCGACAAAUGGGAAUUGUUGAACAUUGGGUUUACUUUUCCUGCAACCUUCUGGAGUGGAAGGCUUUUGAUCCAAUCCAUCGUCGAUGGAUGCAUAUGCCUAAAAUACAGGGCAAUGAUCCAUGUGUUCUGAUAAUGAGUUAUUGGCUGUUGGGACCCAACUUCUGGUUUUUGGAAAAGAAAUAAUGUAUCCUAUUGUCUAUAAAUAUAGCAUUUUGACACACACAUGGACAACCGGGAUGAGGAUGCAUACACUCAGGUGCUUGUUUGCAUCUGCUAGUCUGGGUGAAGUCGAAUUAUAGCUGGUGGUUCAUCUGCGUGGAAAUAUUUUGAGCUCAGUAGAGUUUUAUAAUUCUAAAACUGGCAGGUGAGAGACCAUUCCAAGCAUGAAUAAGGCUAGAAGAAUGUGUUCUGCGGUGUUCAUGGAGGGGAAGUUUUAUGUUAUUGGUGGCAUUGGGGUUGAGAGUUUGAAGACAAUAACAUUCGAAGAGGUGUAUGAUUUGAAAACCAAGACUUGGAGUAAGAUACCUAACAUGUACCCUGCACCAAAUGAGGGGGCUGAACCAACAGGCGAACCUCUUACAAUUGAGGCACCUCCUCUAGUGGCAGUUGUAUUGGGAAAAAAAACUCUUGGUCUCUUUUUUCUCUUAGUUUUCGUUUCCAUUUUAAUUAAAAAAAUAAUCUAUUUUUAUAGUAAUCUUUAUUGAAUCGAAACAGUAGAAAUCAAAUUGAGUGCUCCAUCAAUCGAUUAAAUUUUUUUAUUCAAAACAAAAGAACAAAGGAUCGAUUCGAUGGAGGGUUCAGGCAUGAAUUACAGUAAGUAAUGAGUCUUUUUGUUCUUUACCUGGAUUUUGGGUUCAGAUAUUAUGGUUCUUUUUUUUCUGCAAAAAGAUUAUCCACCUUUCAUGUUUUUCUGUAUAUGUGAUAGACAAAAAAGACAUGCUUCAUUUUUGUUUAUUUAUGUAUUGUAGGCAACCACAAUAGCAAGCAAAUAUAGAGGUUGGUGCAUCCAUUUCGUCUUCUUCUUCUUCUUCUCCAUAGUUUUGUUGUUCUCUUAUCUUCACUGACGAUAACAAAGAAAACUCAACUAUUGCUUCUUUUUAAACUGAAGAAAAUUGGGUUUUAGGGCAAAAUUUUGUAUUCUAUUUUCAUAAAAAAAACUAACUUUUCUCAUCCCAGCUAGAUAUCCACGUUGGCAUUUAAAACCCAUUUUAACUGUCAUGUCGGACUACAUUUUGGGAUGUAACAGAUCUUAACUAUAGAGUGACAAUUUCGUAAUAAACUGAUAACGUAAGUGACUAAAAUGUAGCAUUUCAAACAUAAGUGACUAAAACGUAACCCAAGACAAACAAAAGUGACCAUUUUAACAGUUUACCCAAUUUUUUAAUGAUACUUAUCAUUUUCUUUUUAUAUAUUAAGUAAUUAAUCGUUCUUUGUAAUAUUUUUUUUAACACAAUAUCUAGAAUUAUCUAUAGCCCCUCUCCAACUCAUAAAUAUGAGGAUAAUGCGUUUCAACACACUCGAACUCACAUCCUCCUGCAUGGGGAACAAUAUCCAUGGCAAUCGAGUUAAGACUCAAUUUGACUAUUAAUAUUUUUAUUUUUGUCAUUUUAUUUUUUACUUUCAAUUUGAAAAAUUUUAAAUUUGAGUGAUCGAAAUUUAGAAAAUGUAAAGGUAAACUAUGUUAUUUUAGUGAAGAGCCACUUACUCUCCCUCUCCUUCCUCUAUUUUCUAUCAGGCUCUCCUCCCUCGUUUCCCCAUAACCACCGCACUACCUUUACUUCAAGCAUAACCACCACACUCCCUUUAUUUCAAGCAUAACCACCGUACAAACUAAGAAUUUAACAAAAUAAGCAAAUCUUCUCCUGAUUUCUACCUAACUCGAGACGACAAUCCAUGCCUUUCUUGCGUGUAUAUGUGUGUGUUCCUAUUUGUUCUUCUUGAUGGUGAGGGUAUUAUGCUUUUUUUUUCCUAGUUUAUGCCAUUCUAACACACAUGCAGUCAAGAGUUUUCAGGAAAACUACGAUACCUUGCAAAAGUAUGAGUUUUUGAGUUUUGCUUGCAGCUUUGACUUAGGUAUAUCUACUUCACUCCUUUCUAUUUUUUUCUUUAUGAGACUAGAUUUCUCUUUUUUCUUUGCAUGCAUUUUUUUCUAAAAUAUGAAUCUAGGAAGAUUUAGAUUUUCUUUUUACGUUAAGCUUAAGUUUUUCUUUUUGAUGAAUUUUAUUGGGUUUUAAACCUCCAAUUUUUUAAAAAUAGCCGUAUUUUUCUUCUUUUUUUUUUAAAUUUCUCUUUUUUUUCAUGCAUUGUACGCCACCACUUUUUUACAUGUAAGACCUUUUUUUAAUUUAAAAAAUAUAUUAUUUUAUUGAGUGCGUUAGUGUUUAACUAUUUUUAUUAUAUAUUUUUUAGUUUUAUUAUAGUUAUUAUUUUUAAUUAUUUUAAAAUUUUUAAAAAAUAUUAUUUUAGCUUAAGAAUAAAAAAUUAUAUUUAAUUUGGUGGAGUUAUUUAGAAUGGUGCCACCAGUGCCAUGGGUGUUUUUUUUAAAUGUGUUUUUCUAAUUAAAAAAAAAAGAUAUUUUGUUCAAGACCGACAACAUUGUGUAUUACUAAUUGAAAAAUACAAUGUUUAAUUGCAACACGAGCAAGUCGACAGAGCAAGUUUCUGAGUGCUGUUAAAUUGUAGCUCAGAUGCUGUCGAUACUGAUGAUCUCACCCUUUCAUCCUGUUGACCCAAGGAAUCCCAAAUAAUUCACUUGUUGGCUGUAUAACCAAUUUGAAUUUGUUAGCGUCCUACCACAUCCAACGGAAACACUUACAUAGCCAAUUUGAACCAAUUACCAAAUAAAUAAUCGGUAUCCAAAAAAACAUUAAAUUUAUCGCUGUCGGAGCUCUACUAGAUUAUCGUUAAAAAAAACAUACCUUCAAAUUAAAAAAAAUACUAAAUAAACAAAAACACAAAUACAUAAAAAAAAUGUUUCUUAUCUCUCUCCUAUUCAUCCUCUAACAAAAUAUAAGUAAAAAAAAAAUUGUUUCCUUCAACUCAAAUUGAUCUACCAUUGGGGGUUAUAUAUAGCAACUUGGUCACGCAAAAGAGAAUGGUUCCACCAAAUAAAAUAUUAUUUUUUAUAUUUAAAUUAAAAAAACAUUUAAAAAAAUGGUACCGCAAAGCCACCUAAUAAAUUAAUAUAUUUUUUAAUUUAAAAAAAUAUUUGGCAUGUAAAAAAGUGGUGACGUCAUUCUUAAUGACUCCAUAAAAAAAGAUUAAAUUUUUAAAGUUAUUAAUUUUUUAGAAAUAACAGUAUUCCCUAAUAUUUAUACGGUGACACCAUUUUACAUGGCUCCACCAAAAAAUAAUUUUUUUAUUAAAUUUAAUGAUGUGGCAUGUUCAGGUUAUUUACGUGUAUAAUAAAAAAAUAGAUCAUUUUCAUAAUUAAUCAAAAAUUUAAUUUCAGUUGUAAAAAACAAUCUGUAUGUAGAGAAUUUACUUACUCAAUUUAGCUAUUUCUAAAUAUUUGUUUAUGUCAAUGUAGAUUAAAAAAGAAUUUCCUUAUUGUUUAUACUAUUUACUUUUAGCUUAAUGAAUCCCCGCCUACAAUAUUAACUCAAAUGAUUGAAUUAACUAACCAAAACUAAUAACUAUGAUUUAAAAAUAAUAUUAAAAAUAUUUUCCCUUUUAUACAUCAAUCUAUGGGCUCAAGUGAGUGCAAUUAAUUAAGAUAGUGAUGGGCCCUUUAGGUCCAAUAUCAAGCCCAAUUUAAAGUCAGUCCGGAGUUGGGUUGACCCGAUACCAAUCCAAAUUCCACACGUUUCUUUCUUUUGCUAAUAAUCCACUCGGUAUCUCCUCCAUGGAAGCAUCGAAUCAGUCGAUCUGCUCCACUUUGUUUCUCAUCUCCAUCCAAUCCUGAACAUCGAAAUUCCCUAUUUACCCUCCUCGCCCUAUCAAAUUUCCCUCAUCGCCCGAAUUUUCCAUGGCUUGACCCGGAAAUCCGACUCAAAUGGACUCUCUGCAAAGUCUCCCUCCACUAUCGACUCUGUCCACCUCAGUUUCCUCUGCCCUCAACGCUAAACUCGGCACCAACCAUGAUCUAACCCAAGCACCAAGCAUCGUCGCCGAGUUUCUGACUCAGUGCGAUGAUCUGGAGCGAAAUCUAGUCCACCACAACCGUACCCUCGAGUCAAACCUCGCAUCUUACGCUUCCUUUUCUAAUCGCAUCGGCCACCUCUUCGGCAUUGUAAAUUCGAAAUUGACCGAUCUAGGAUCCUCCGUUUGCCUUCGGUCCUCCGUUUCAGGUUCGCAUCAAUGCAAAGUUUCGAUUUUGAUAUUGAUUUUCUCUUCUUCUUCUUCUUCUUUUGUUUUUGAGUUUGUGCAUGAAGAGCACUGGUUUUAUCUUAUUUUUUUUCUAUGCGGAAACUUCUGUGUUAUAGACGGAGAAGGGUUGGGAGAGGAGUUGCCGUCGUUGGCCAAGGAGGUGGCCAGAGUGGAAGCGGUCUGAGCAUAUGCAGGUGAGAGUUCUAAAAUGUCAUAGAUUAUAGGAAUUCUAAAAUUCUUAUUAAAUUUAAGCAAAAGCACUAAAUUUUGUUUAGAUAGUUUUGAAGAAUUAUUCUUUAUAGUGUUCUGGUAUUUCAGUUGUUGUGUUUCAAUAUGCAAAGAAAGGUGUUUUUUGUUAUUCGAUGGUUGAAAUUGAGGUAAAAUGAUUCAUAUUAGGGCUUACACUCUGCUUUUGCUAUUUGGUUUCUUUCUGUUCUUUUUACUUGUAAAAUAUGUAUAGAAAGCUAAAAGUAGCAGAAGUUUCAAACAAACAUAGCCUGCUAAUCAUUAAUAUGAUUUAUUCUCUUCUGGUAAGAAGAUAUUGAUGGCCCAUUGUUGCUUUUUCUCAAUGACAUAGAGGUAAUACCUCCAAGUGGAUGUCCUACCAUCUGUAGCUCAAUGUGAUAUGAAUAAUUCAUUUGUGUAAUAAUAUUUUCUUUUAUAUUUUUGUUUCCAGCGAGAGAAAGUUGAACAGUUGCUACUUGAAUCAACUACAAGUUAUCCCAUCAUUUAUGACAACCUCAAAAAGAUAUAUCCUGCAAGGGAUGGAAAUCCUGCGAAAAUUGCUGUGAGAGGAUUGUCUCUUGCUUUGCUUAGAGGGGAGAGUUUUGGCAUGUUUGGACCCAAUGGUGCUGGCAAGACUUCUUUAAUUAAUAUGGUAGUGUAUGAUUUUUUUUCUCUCUCUAAUUUGAAAACAUGGUUCUUUUAUGCACUUAGCAGACUUGUAUGCAUUUUCUGUGACGUGAGGGGCUGAAAGUGAAAUCUUCCAUGUUAGGAUCUAGUUUGUUUCCCCAGUAGUAAUUUUAGCCAUUUUGUUCCCUAUGUUGGGAUUAAUUUCGUCUUACUCAUGCCUGUACCUUAUGAAGAUAGAAUCAGGUUUAGCUGUUAAAAACUAUGCAAGAUUGAUGUGUUAUUCUGUGGACAGAUGAUUGGGCUCACAAAACCAACCUCAGGGACAGCAUAUCUUCAGGGUUUGGAUAUACUGACUUCUAUGGAUACAAUCUAUACAAGCAUGGGUGUCUGUCCACAGCAUGAGUAUGAUAUAAUUGUUUCCUUUUGCCAAGAAACACAUUGUUUUCCAUGUUGAAAGAUUUCUUAUUUUGUUAUUUGUAAAUUAGCCUGCUCUGGGAAACUUUAACUGGGAGGGAGCACUUGCUAUUUUAUGGGAGACUGACGAACCUCAAAGGUUCUGCAUUAAAUCAAGUAAGUCAAGAUUACCUAUGCUCUGAGCUUGUUAUGGAUUUUACUUGGAGAAGUUGAUGCUCAUAAAUAUUAUUUAAUUAUAAAUCUAAAGUCUAGAGGUUCUUCUAUCAGACUGCCGUUUUGUCUUUUAAUAUUCAAAUAUUAAAGGCGGAUGGUGGACCUUCACAGAAAACUAGGCUGAGGCGAUUUAGUUCAUCGUCAUGUAAAAUAUUUGGAUUCUAUUUUUGCUCAUUCCCAUGCAAUUGCCUCAGGCAGUGGAAGACUCUCUUAAGUGUGUCAACCUAUUUCAUGGAGGGGUUGCAGACAAACAUGCGGGCAAAUACAGUGGAGGUAUGAAGAGGAGACUCAGCGUUGCCGUUUCACUGAUUGGGGAUCCCAAGGUAAAAUGGUUCAGUCUACAUUUCUUUGUAAGACAUUACUAAACUUAUAUCCUGGGGUGCUGUUCAUGGCUUUAAUCAUUUGAGAUUUUGUAAAUAGGUUGUCUUUAUGGAUGAACCCAGUACCGGUCUUGAUCCAGCUUCAAGAAAUAGUCUGUGGAGUGUUGUGAAACAGGCAAAACGAGAGGGGGCAAUUAUUCUCACCAGUAUCUCUCUCUCUGCACUACCACUCUUGAUUCACCAUUCUUGAUUUUAACCUAUUUGCAUGCUUUGCUCUCUCUUUUGCAUUCUUGAUUCUACAGAUAUAGUUGUAGUGUUGCUUUUUGUUUUUGUCAUAUACGCAUUUACCUUGUAAAUGAAUUGGAUUCGCCUUUCUUAUUUAUGGAUUAUGUAAAACUAGAAUUUGUGUUACAAGAGAAUGUGUGUGAUGCUACUCUAUCAUAUAAUGUAAAAAAUGUGACAAUGUUGCUCCUAGCGAAGUGAGGUCGCAGCAAGAAGAGAUUAUGGUGGCUAAGCAUCCACAAGUGAGGUCAAGUAUAAAAACUGAUGUAAAAGUAACAUAAUUUUGAGGCUUAUUUGAAAGAUAUUUUACAUUUGAUGUAUAUUAAAUUAACCAGUUAAUUGGCUUAUAAUUCCCAUUAAAAAAACCUUUCAUAUAAAAUUAGCUCUUGUACUAUAUUGCUACUUAAUUUUUUUUUUUUCGAUACUGGCAUAAUAAUACCUGACGAGACCUCUCACCUCAACAACCAAGUUAUUAUUACGUAAAUAAUAGGUAAAAGAUUAAAAAAGAAAAAGAAAAAGAAAAAUAUGAAAAUCAAAUUGUAAGUUUUAAAAAUAUAUAAAAAUUCUGAAAAUUUUAACAAAUCAAUAUUAAAAUAAAUUAAAGCUUUAGAAAAUAUAAAAAAAAUUAUAUUUGCUUAAAAUUAUAUUUCUUAAAUGGAGUUAUUGUGUUUGUAAUUGAAAUUAUCUUAUUCUAAAAUUUUCUUAAUUCAAUUUAAUUUAUCUAAUUUUUUUAUUCUAAAGAUGAAUUAUAAAAUUUUGGUAUAUUAAUCUAUAAUUUCAUAAACUUCGUAAAGUAAAUUUAUCAUUUUGGGUCAAAGCCAUUACUUACGAAUUACUCAUUACGUUUAUAAUUAUUUGUGUAUGUAAUAAAUGUACAUAAAAUGAUGAUAUAAAAAUCAAAUUAAAAUAAAAAUUUUGAUACGUGUAAUUCAACCCAUGUGUGAACAGAGAGUUGAAAUGGUAGGAACAAUAAAUUCUCCAUAUUUGGAGAUUGGUUAGAGCAAGAUUUUUAAAGUUUUCUGAGGGAAUUUCACAUAAAUGAGAAAGGGAAAAAGAUAGUAAAUAAAUGAAUGUCUAUCCAAAUAAAAAGAGAGAGAAAGGGAAACUUCUUGUAAAUAUAUUAACCAAUGGUUUGACGAUGUAUAUAUGGUAAUUAACCCUUUAUAUAUUUUAAAAUUUAUUUAAAAAUAAAUACAUAAAAAUAUCUUAAAUUGGUAAGUAAUCUUAAGAGGAUUCAUGCUUUUUAUUAAACACAAAAAAAUAAAAAGUCAGAGAAAAAAUUCAAAUUUUAACACAUCUGUAUUGCCUAUGCCAUUUCAAGAGAAUGAGCCCUACCAUUUUGACGGUUUUUUCCCUCCCAAUGUAUUACUCAAAAGAUUUUUAAUUUUAGAAAACAAUAACAAAUUAUUGUUUUAAAUUUAAAAAUUUAUCAUUAUCUCAUUUAUUUAGUUUAAUUUUAAAAUAUUUUAAAAAUUAAUUAAAUACUGAUGUAUUAUAUAUGUGGUAAUCUACAUGUAUGUUAUGUAAUAAAAUUAACAAAGACUAAUUUUUCCAUCCAAUUUUAGUGUAUGUUAUGUAAUAAAAUUAACAAAGACUAAUUUUUCCAUCCAAUUUUAGAUGAUUUAAUCAAAAAACAAAAAUUUAAUGGUUAAAAGAGACGAAAAAUUAAAUAGAUAGUUAAAAAUGUAAUUUUUUUUAAAUUUAAAGGCGAAAAAAUUUAUUAUGCCUAUGCAAAACAUCACCAUCCAUCAAAAUUAAAGUUAUAAAAUGUAAAACGCAAGUCCUUGUUUUGAUUAAAUAAUUGUUAUGUUAGCUUAAUAAAAAAGGCACAUUUUUAAUUGUUUACUGAACAUAUUAACUUCAACUUUGGGUAUCUAUAAUUUUUUAUGAAUUCAUGAAGUUGAACUUUAAGGAAAGCUAAUUUAAAGUCACAUGAUUCAUUUGAACAUGGAUUCAUAUGAUACGUAGUAUAAAUUAUAAAUAAAUCACUGCAAAAUUAACUACAACAAUGGAAUAAUUGUAUCAACUUUAUCAAAUUAUUGAAAUUUACACCCUAACCUUAUCAUCAUCAAAUCAACUUGACGAUAAACACCAAUCAAUCAAGAAAAUCUUCCCAAAGACAAACCAUAUCGAAAGUGCACAAAAGGCCAAAUCUCAGAUGACCUAUCCUCAUCCUCAUCAUCUUGGAUCUAUCAUCAUCACUAUAAUCUAUCAUGAUAAAGCCUUUUGAGAACAAAUCUUAAAAGAUCUGGCAACACCUUUAUAUUGACAAACUUCACAUACGCCAGAACAUGACUUAAAAUAGAAAGUAAAAAUACAACCACAUUUGUUUUCAAAGAAAACAGAGUGGACAAAAACAAAAAUCACAAAAAAUUGUAAACAAAAUAAAACUACAAAGUUGUGGAAAAUUUGCGAUAAUGUGGACUAAAAUUAAAAACAAAAUAGAACUACAAAAGUUAUUGAAGAAACUGCGAUUAGGAACCUACCCAAAAGCCAACGCUGCCGAUGAAACAAAGAUUUCACUUACUACACGCUUUAUCACGUCAUUAAGUAGCCAAAUAUGAAGCAAAUCAACGUUCCAAGAACCAUCAAGAAGAAUCUAAUCCCUCAAAGUGCUCUCCAAAUCUAGGCUUGCAUGCGCUAGGACUUACAAUAAAAAGAGGACCAACUUUCGGUACACAAGAAUCUUUCCAAUCACGAAUUGUAGAGCUAUCACCUAUAGGCCACACGAGAUUUUCACAAAAAAAGGGCCACACUUUAGAAAGGGAACGCCAAAGAUGAGAGCAUUGAUUUCUGUGAAUUUAAUUUGGAAGCUGAUUCUUCCAGCCAUAUAAGUUAAACCGUUAUAAGUUAAUAAAGUCAAGGGGAUUUAUUUUAAUUUAUUGAUGUAUAUGUUAAAAUAAAACGGUUUUUUCAUAUUUAAUCGAUAAAGUACUAGUUGCUUUAUUCAAAAUAAUUAAUAGAGCAUAAGAACAUUAAUUUAGAUUCGACCGUUGUGGAAGAUGACAAAUAAUAGAUAUAAUUAUAUCAAUUUUUUAAUAAAUUCAUUUAAUAUACUUCCACCAAAACCUUAAUUUAGUCGAAAUCCAUUUUUGUCGAUUAUGUUUUUUUUUUACUUGUUUACAUAUUAUCUAAUUUGACACGAUCAAAACCCUAAUUAAGAUCAAGAUUAUAAAGUCAACCAAGUCAAGAGGGUUUUUGUUAACUUUUUCAUGCAUAUACGUUAAGAUAAAGGUUUUUUUUUCUCAUUUGAUAAAAAAGAAGUAGUGGUUUUAUUCAAUAAUUGAUAGAACAUAAGAACAUUAAUUAAGAUCCAAUCAUUGUGAAAAAUAUUUUCCUUUAAAAGCGUUGAAUAAGACCACCUUGUCCUACUCCACCAACACAAUCUAAUCUUACAGAUGUCAAACAACUAAUGAAUGUCGAGAUGUUUACCAUUAAAGCAGGGGUGAAAAUAAAAACUUUUUAUUGGAAGGCGAAGAUUGAAUUUUUUUUGGGGGGGGAUCUUUACCAUUUAAUUAAUUGUCAAGUUCACAAAUUUAGAGGAUUAAAAGAGAAAUUUUACCAAACCAAGGGAGGCCAAGGACCUUGCCUGCCCUCUUGGUGCCAUCCUUGCAUUAAAGACAAUCACGUUUUGAUAAAUCCAAAUAGACUAUGAAAUAAUAAAGAAAGGCAUUUUCCAAAUAUGGCUAGUUCAUUGGAAAUGAAAAUUUUGUAGCCAACUUUGAAAAAAAGAUAGUUGGGUCCUUUGGAAAGACCAAAUGAAUGCUCCAAAUAGUGCAACACUUUUGCAAUAACCUCCAUGAAACAUCACACUUAAUAAACAAGUGAUCAAUCGAAUAUGAAUUUGCAUGAUAGAAAGUGCAGGUCGUAGAAUUAAAGAGGAAUAACCCCUCUUAGCUAGCUCAUAUUUUGUAGGAUGCCUACCAUAAAGUAAUCAUCAUACAAGCAUUCCCACCUUAAGAUGAUCAAUCUAGACUUUGUUUCCACGAGUUAUUCUUGUAACAUGAUCCGAGCUACGAAAUGCUAUAUUCGUUUCGGAACAACCACAAUCAAUCAGAUAACACAAUCAUUUAUACAUGAAAUCAAGAGUUUAUUAUGUUCAAAAUUAUGUUAAACGAUCAAUUCUAAAUCUUAAUCAAGCUUAUGAAAGCUCUUGACUAUCCGAGUACGAAACAUGAUCAAAUUGCAAAGUUCACACAAGACUAUUAACAUGCCUAUCGUAUCCUAACAUUUACUAAGUUCACACAGGCAUCUUUAACACAUGUAAACAUUUCUUUUCAAUUUAGUCCAAUUCUAGCCUUUUGAACCAAUUCACAACUAAACACAUAUAUAAUUAAAAAUCAAAUGUACAAAAACCUAUAUAAAAAAAUACCAUAUGAACUUAUUUGAUUAGAACAACAAACAAAUUCAAUCUUCAGGGACUAAUCGACAAUUUUGGCUUUUUCUUGAUUAUCUCCAGUUUGAUCCAAUUCUUAAUCUAUACAAUUAUUCCAUUCAAUCACAUAAAAAAACUUAUAAACACCCUCUAAUACUACGAACCUAAAGCUCCGAAAGAGACUUCUCUUGAUCAAAGCCUUCACUUUUCUUAAAGGCAUUUCCAUUCUUCUCAGUUUCCCUAUUCUCCAUCCUUUUUAGUACCUUUCUUACUUCUAUCGUUUUCCACAUUGUUCACCCUUUGAACUUGGUCAAACCCCUUCUUUUGAGAUUUAAAUUUUCUCUAGAAAGAAGAUCUUCGAUUAAAUCUGGCCAUUCUUGUAAAGACCUGACUUCCAAACACAACAUACAUUAAGCUUGGCGAUGGCUCUAUGAGCUUCCGCAAACUUGGGAAACCUUACAAAGCCAAAACAUUAUCCUCUCAUACUACAUUUCCUUGGAAUAAAAGCAUUUAUAACAUGACCAUGAUAACCAAAAACUUUCCAUAACCCUUUCCAAAAGAGUUUUUUUUUUUUGUAAUCUCUCCAUGAAAAUUGUUGAACACCCUUUAAUCCCUCCACAAAACCGAAACACUAUCUCAAAAAUAAUCUCAAUUGCCACAUAUAAAGUAAGGUUUUUUUUUCACAUUGGAUUAGAAAAGUACUAAUUUCUUUAAUCAAAAUAAUUAAUAGAACAUAAGAACAUCAACCAAGGUCCAAUCAUUUUUUUGUCGAAACCAAGGUAUCUACUGCCAAUAGUGGUGACUAAUACUCUCACCACAAGUACUCUCCAAAGAGGUAAACGACUGGCCAGGAAAUGUACUCUAUUCACAUGGGCGGGGAUCAAACCCCCGACCUCAUGGUCAUGGAGGAUCUGAUCAUUUUGAAAAACAACAAAAAAUAGAUACAUUAAUAUUAAUUUUUGAAGUAUAAAUUCAUUUAAUGUGAUUUGACCGAAAUCUUAAUUUCGAUCAAAUUCUUUCUUUACCGAUUAUAUUUCUUUAUUUGUUUCCAUAGUAUUGAUUUGACUCGAUCAAAGCCCUAAUUAGGAUAAACAUUAAAAGAUUAAAUUUCAACUAAACUUAUUGACGUAUAUGUGCUAAAGUAAAAGUAGUUUUAUUCACAUCCGAUCAGAAAAGUACUAGUUGAUUUAUUCAAAAUAAUUAAUAGAACAUGAGAACAUUAAUCAAGGUUCGAUCAUUUUGAAAAACAACAAAAAAUGUAUACAAUUAUUUUAAAAUUUGAAGUACAAGUUCAUUUAAUUUGAUUCGAUCGAAACCUUAAUUUAGAUGAAAUUCCUUUUUUUUUUCAAUUUUAUUUUUUUAUUUGUCUUUAUAAUAUAGUAUGUAUUUGGUUUGACUCAAUCAAAACUCUACGCAAAAUUGACAUAAAUAUGUUAAAAUAAAAUGAGGAAGGAAUGCACAUACUAGGGUUUUAUGGCCGAAUGGUAAAUCCUUCAUCAUUCUAGCCAACCAGGAAAUCCUUUAUCAUUCCAGCUAAUAAGUGAGCCACAUAAUUCACCUCCCUUGGAAUCUGCUCAAAACCAACUCUCCAUUCAUUACUACAUAACUCCCGAAUUCUUAGAACCAAAUCUCUAUGUAAAUACCCUCUUAAACCACCAUUGAUACUUUUAAUAGCAAGUGUGCAAUCUGUUUCAAUAUCUCUCCAUUUAGCAUCUCACGCCAUAAUAAGAUAGUCAUAAAUUACCCAUACCUCCGCUUACUCAACACUAUACCUGCUGAUAUUUCUACCUAUCCCACACACCCAAUUAUAGUACUCAUCUCUCGCCACUACUGUCGAGGCAAUUAAACUUGAAAUCGGACUACAAACACCAUCGAUAUUCAAUUUAAUGAAUCCCGAAGGACUGGAACCCACAUUGAAUCCCAAUGGUAGGAUAAUUAUUUAAAUAUAUGGUUAAAGUAUAUAGGGAACUCUAUUAAUUGUGUUUGAAAAUUUAAAAAAAAAUACUAAUCAUUACAAAUAUCAUAAAAGGAAGGUUGGUGAGAAAAAAAAGGAAAGAAAAAAAUACAUGCAAAAACAAUUCUGAUAAUUUUAAAUACAAUAUAAUUAUAAAACAAUACGAAAAAUUUAUAAAAAAAUAUAAAUACAGAACAAAAUAUGCAAAUAAUAAUAUUUUUCAAUAAAGACUAAAGAGGGUCUAAAAUUUCAAACACGUGAGGAAAACAUGGUUCAUAGUUUGAUUUUCCUUUGGUUGGGACCACAAUUCUUACACAGCAACUCCCUUCCAUAGAAGUUGUAGGCCCCCACCUUUCCUUCCUUUUUUUUCUUGUUAAAAAUAAUUUUAAAAAAAUUACAAUUUUAAUUAUUUUUUUCUAUUAGUUAUAAAUUCAUUCCUUUUUCAACCAUUUUUUUUAUAAGCUCUCUCUCUCACUCUAUAUAAACUAUAGCUAGAGAAAGAAUUUGAAGCAAACUGAGCUUUUGUUUUGUUAAUUUGAUCCCCGAAUAGUUAAAAGCUUUAGCCCUUUGUUAUCCAAUUUGUAAGCCUUUUUUUCGUUUCUUUUAUGAUGGUUUGGUGGAUUCAUUUUUAACUUUCUCAUUUACAUUGUUAAAGGUUAUGGUGUCUUUUUCUUUUUUUUCUUUUUUUCUUAUUGAAUUUCUCUUUAAGGGCAGCAUCUACUAUGAAAUGAGAGCAAACCCUUUUUUUUUUUUUGAAAUGUAUAGAUUUUAGUGAAUGGUAUAUCAUUUAUCUUGGUUACAUUUGGAGCUAAAUUUAGAUUUGAUUUUCACGGUUGAUUGUCAAAAAAUGUGGCAUGUGAUUGACUCUUGAUGAAUUUUCUUUCCUUUUCUCACGGUUUCUUAACUUUAUAUGUGUUCAUAGAAGUGAAAUAAAAAGAUAACAUCUUUUGGAUUAUUAUCAUUUCUCAUUCAUUUUGUAGAGUUUAAUUUUCAAGUUAUUUCUACUUCGUAAAGAGCAUCAAGUUGUAAGUUUUAUCAGAUUGUUUGAUUUUUAAUUCUUGGUUUUGAUUACUAGACUAUUCUUGUUAUGAGUGUUGUUUUUGAUGAUAAGAAUUAUUUUGUCUUUUUUUGUGAUAUAUAUAUAUUGCUUUGUUUGGGUUGAUACUUGAUAGAAGUGUGCUAUUCUUUUUCUUCUAAAUUAAGUUUGAUACUUGAUAGAAGUGUGCUAUUCUUUUUCUUCUAAAUUAAGUUCUUUUUUUUUUCUUGAGAUUAGCAUGAAUAGUGUUUUCAGCUCCCUACAAUUGAUUUCUACAGGGAUUUUAUAAUAAUUUUUUGUUGUAUUUUAUGGAAUUCUAUGAUAUGUGAAUUGGUGCAUUUCCUAUAUAAAUCAGUCUCUCUCUCUCUAUCUCUCUCUCUCUCAUUAUCUCUUUAUAUAUAUAUCAUGUAGUGACUGAUCAAUUUUACAUAUUAUUAUCAUGAAGAACAAAAAGGAAGGUUUCUGGUUCUCUCACAAAGUUAGAACUAGUAAGAAGACAGAGAAGAUCUUAUGGCGAAAAAGGGUGUCAAAGUACUCAAAGGUGACAAGAAAAAGGAAAAAAUGGAGGAUAUGUGGCUUGCCCAAAUUGGCCAACGAGAAAACCACCGCUAUGCUUGGUACAAUUCAAAAUCAAGUUUACUGAUCCACCAGCUCAGGCUAGACAUCUCGAUUAAUUGUCUCCUCCGUUGCACAAGGUCUGAUUAUGGCAUCAUUGCAACUUUGAAUACGAGUUUCCACUCUCUUAUACAGAGUGGUGAGCUGUACAAGUUGAGGCGACAAAUGGGAAUUGUUGAACAUUGGGUUUACUUCUCCUGCAACCUUCUAGUGUGGGAGGCUUUUGAUCCAAUCCAUCGUCGAUGGAUGCAUAUGCCUAAAAUACAGACCUGUGAAAGUUUCAUGUGUUCCGAUAAAGAGUUAUUGGCUGUUGAGACCCAACUUCUGGUUUUUGGAAAAGAAAUAAUGUACCCUACUAUCUAUAAAUAUAGCAUUUUGACGCACACAUGGAUAAGCGGGAUGAGGAUGCACAGACCCAGGUGCUUGUUUACAUCUGCUAGUCUGGGUGAAAUUAGAAUUAUAACUGGUGGUUGUGAUCUGCAUAGAAAUAUUUUAAGCUCAGCAGAGCUUUAUAAUUCUGAAACUGGCAGGUGGGAGACCAUUCCAAGAAUGAAUAAGGCCAGAAAAAUGUGUUCUGCAGUGUUCAUGGAAGGGAAGUUUUAUGUUAUUGGUGGCAUUGGGGUUGAGAGUUUGAAGACAAUAAAAUCCGGAGAGGUGUAUGAUUUGAAGACCAAGACUUGGUAUGAGAUACCUAACAUGUACCCUGCACCAAACGAGAGGGUUAGACCAACAGAAGAACCUCUUACAGCUGAUGCACCUCCUCCAGUGGCAGUUGUGAAUGAUGUGUUGUAUGUAGCUGAUCAUGUACUGAAGCAAGUGAAGAAAUAUGACAAAGAGAAGAACUUGUGGUAAUGGUAAGGCCAUUCCCUAAGUGUACAACUUCAAUGAAUGGAUACGGGAUAGCAUUUAGGGCAUGCGGGGAUCAACUGAUGAUUAUUGGAGGACUUAGGGUUUUAGGUGCAGGGUUUGUUGAGAUCAACUCUUGGGUCCCAAAGGAGGGUCAUCUAGAAUGGAACUUGGUUGCCAGAAAGCCCUCUAGCAGUUUUGUGUAUAACUGUGAAGUCAUGGGAUGCUGACAUGUGCAUCUAGUUUCGGUGGCACCAUGUUGUUGCAUAAAGCCUUUUUCUGCUACAACCAAUAGACAAGUUAUAAGAGGAGGCUUGAAGAUUUCGGCCCUUCUUAGUUUUAUUAUGUUUUGUAACUUUCCUUCCAUUUUCUUUCUUGUUCCUUUUGUUGGGUGGUUGCCAUCAGGGUUUGUUAAAGUUUGUGUUAUGUAGAACAAAGCAUAAUUACAUUUUAGACUAUUUUCAAUGUUAAGGAAGUGUCUUUUGACCAAAUAUCAGUCUCGAUCAAUUAUUGAACACACACAUAUUUAUAAUAGUUUACCUAUUCCAUACUCUUUUCCUCCAGGUAAGAAAAAGAUAGAAAGGAUGUAUGAUCAUGAAAAGCUUAAUCCUUUCCUCUAGUGAGAGGGAGUAGUUGCGAGAGGGAGAAGAUGGAGACAGAGAGAGAUCGAGAAGGGGGAAGGAUUUUUUGUUCAUUUAAUAUUAAUAUAAAUUUUUAAUUAAUUUUUUUCAUUCAAUAUCAAUAUAAAAUUUGUCUCAUGUUACAUUUUAGUCACUUAUAUUUGAAAUAUUACAUUUUAGUCACUUAUGUUAUCGUUUUGUUACCCCUUAAACAAUAGUCCAACGUGGCAGUUAAAAUGGUUUUUAAAUGCCAACGUGGAUUUUAAGGCAAGUAAAUUAAAUGAUUUUUAAUUAAAUAAAUUUAAUUAAUUGAAUUUUCUAAAUUAAUUAAAAGAAAAUGUUAAUUAAGUUUCUCGAAAUAAUCAAAACCAAUGUAUCAGAUUAAUCCUUGAACUAGAAAAAAAAACUCUUAGUCUCAUUUGUUCUUAGUUUUCGUUUCCAUUUUAAUAGAAAAAAUCAUCUAUUUUCAUAGUCAUCUUUGUUAAACCGAAACAAUAGAGAUCAAAUUGAGUGCUCCAUCAAUCGAUUGAAUUUUUUAUUUAAAACAAAAGAACAAAGGAUCAAUUCGAUGGAGGGUCCAGACAUGGAUUACAGUAAGUAAUGAGUUUUUUUUGUUAUUUACCUGAAUUUUGGGUUUAGAUAUUAUGUUUUUUUUUUUUGCAAAAACAUGGUACAUCUUUUCAUGUUUUUCUGUAGAUGUCUGGAACGGUGGAAAUGAGCAAGUGUACACAAUCGUAACAAGUAAUAAAGUGACAAGUAAAUGUCGAGUUAUUGUAGCCACAGGGACUGUAAAAAGCGAUAUUUAUAGAAUUAAUUAAAACACUCUGGUGAGGUAAAAAUGAUUUUGGUUUGAAAAGAGUGAUUUAUAAACUAAUAUUUUAAAACUAAGCAAACAAUUUAAAUAAAAUAAAAGAGUUCUAGUGCACGAUUUCAAUUAAGAUUUAAUCAAGAUGAUAUAAUUGUGUUGGAUUAAUUAUACCUGUUUAACUUAGAAAUAUUAAAUUCGUGCUUAUGCUGUUAUGAAUAAAUUCACGGCAACCCAGUAAUUUGCUAACUUAUGAACAUAUUUACUAAUUAAAAAAUUCCAUUUAUCUCUUGAACAUAUCCCUAUGCCAAUUCAACCGACUAAACAGAUUUAAUAAAGUAAACAUGCUAUCGCACAUACAGACUUAUUGAAUUAAAUUAUCUCUCGCAUAUUCCUAUGUCGAUUCAACCGAUUAAUUCAACUUAAUAAACAUGUAAAAGAUUAUGUGAAGUAACAAAGUAGCCAUACCUUGAAACAAUUUAAUCACAACAAUCUUGCAAGUUAUGCAAGGCAUAUGUAUCUCCAAAUACAAUGCUAAUUUAAUUUUCAGUUACCUUAGAAGAAUUAAACAUGUACUGAUUAAGUACUGAGUCUAUUAAUUGCAAUUUCAAUCCAUUUAAACAAUUAAUUCUUUAGUUAUCUAAACAAUUAUAAUGCCAGAUAACCUAAGCAUGAUUUUACUUAAUCAAGCAUUUCACUGAGGUCUAUAACAGCAUAAACACUAAUUUAAUAAUUCAAGUAGGCAAAAUAUAAUCAACCCAACACGAAUUAAAUUCAAGCUAAAUUGAUUAAAAUAACCAUUUCAACAACAAUAUUUUUCAUAGAUAGGUUCAUCAUAAAAACAACAGAAAUUAAAAAGAAAGGGAACAGAAAGCAAAUCCAGUGUUUCUCUACAGCUUGACUGUUGCUCCGUUCUUAGUCUCCGUUGUCUUCGCCGAGCAAGGCUUCUAUGAAUCCUUCAUUGCUGCCCAAGAUGGCUGAAGAACACCUCUUUCGUAAGAGAGGAAAUCGGCACAAGAGGAAGGGAAAAUGGGAUGGAGAAAUGGAGAGGAAACAUUGAGAGAAGUGAAGAGAGGAUGAGAGAAUGUUGUGGAAUGAGGGAUGUUGAGGGAUGCUUUGAAAUCGGCAGCAUAGGGUGGCUUUUAUAGCUGAAGAGGGCUGCUAAAAAUAGCAAAUUCAGCAGCCAAGAGAGCCCUCCCCUGGCUGGCCACACACAUGGCAAGGUUGAAGCUUUCAACCUUUCUAAAAAUAGGCUGGGGCAAAUCUACAAAGCCUAAAAUAAAGGUGGGGUUUGAACGUAAUUUAGAGGUUUUUCAAGGGCCUUUUUGCAAGACCAUUUUAUUAGCUAAUUUGCUGAUUUGGGUCAGCCAAUGGACGGUUCUGGUCAGCCCAAUUAGUGGCUGGUUCGGCUCACUUCAUUCGGUUCAACCAGUGCGGUUCACUAGGCCCUUUUUUCAUAACUAAUUAAAAUUAAUUCAUUUAACCUAAAUUAAAUAGAAAAUAAAUUAAAAUUAAUUUAAUUAUGAAUUAAAACACAUUUCUGGACCAUCUUGGGCUGGAAAUUAAUUGGCCUCAAUACUUCAAAUUACUCUCGGUUUUGUUCUUCUCGCAGUGUUCACCGGGCCCUUUUCUCUAAUUGUAUAAUUUUGUCAAAAAUAACCAAAUUUAAUCAAAAUUAACUACAAAAUUAAUUAAAAUUCAUAAUGUUCAUAUUUUUAAAAUAAGUUAAUUAUUUUAUAAUAUUUAAUUAUUUUUUUGACAAGAAUUUAACCGAAUUUACAUGAAUUUAAGUAGAAUUGGGUAUGAAAAAGUAUAUAAAUUUUUGUGUUUCCACACCCCCAAACUUAAUUCAUUGCUCGUCCCGAGUAAUGCGCAAAUUUUGAAAAGAAUCUCUCGAAAACACCUUUGAAAAAUUCCUUCAGAACAACAUUUUCCCAAAAUUAUAAACUUAAAAUACUUAUGCUCAAAGAAAAGACAUCUGUUAAUUAUGCUACUUAAGUAUGCAUAUUGUUCAACUUAAAUUCAACCACUUAUUAUUAUAGCAAAAUUUAGACUAAAUGCUUUUGUAAUAAAGACAUGUUAAUCUUUACCAAUUUGAUUUUUAUUCCUUUAUUAGAGACUAAGCUGCAAUCAUUAAGCUUAACUUAUGUCUUCAUAUGUUGAUCGUAGCAAUUUCUCUCCACUAAUGUAGCUAGCAUGAAGACUUUGAAUCAAUAGGUCUUUAUUAGGGUUGUAACGUGGCUAGGCUAGGGGUAAGUGGAAGAUGGAUAAAUUUUGGUUUUAAAAAGAACCCUAGACUCAGCGUCAAUUGAACCUUCGGAGUUUUUACCUUCGAUACACCAACUUGACUUUCAUAUGCUCUUUUUCAAAUAUAUGUGUUUUUUUUUCAAUUAACACGAGCACUUAUUUUGUGUACUGCAACUCUCAAGCAAUUGAUACUUCUUGUCAACUCCCCCAAACUUAUUUUCGAACAACAUCUAGAAUAUUACCGAGUCUAGUGUUUGGGACAAUUUUAAGAUUAUUAAGUGAAAAGUAAUGGCUAAUUAUUAUAAGGGUCAGAAUAAAAUUAGGCCAUACAGUCUCAAAGUUAGGUUUCAAUGGAUAAAAUAUACCAUGGUGGGCUUGAAAGGCUCAAACGGUCCAAACAAUAGUUGCCUAAAUCAUUUCCAACGUUUCAUGCUCCUUAGGAUUUCGCCUCAAGAAACUUACUAAGUCAAUUCUAAAGACUUAAACUUUCAUGUAUACCUAACUUUCCUAAAGAACUAAAAAUUUUAUGGUACGAAUUUGCAUGCUUUUUUAAAAACACAUUCAUGUCAUUAUUAAGCUAACAUAAUAAUUUAUUGAAAUAAUAGAACUUUAUUCAUACUUAAAUUGAGCAUACUUAACAGAAUUCAUAUUUCUGAACAAAAUAUAUCCUAAUCAUAAUUAAAAGGAAAAUUUUAUCCUGAGUGGAAAUAAUUCAAUUUCUCAGUCCCCCUAACUUAAAAUGAACAAUGUCCUCAUUGUUUAAAGUGAAUAGAUACUAUACACCAGGUAGGAUUUUAGAAAAGAGGAGGUGAGUCAAUUUGACUGCUUAAGUACCAAGCUCUUUCUAAAUCCAAUCCUAGACAUGUAUAUAUCUAUUGCCACACUUUAAGUUUUGUGACUUGCUCACAUUUUAUUAGUGAUUUUCCUUUCUUGUUUUAUUAUGCAAAAAACAAAAAUAAAUUCCUAAUUAAACUUAAUCCUAAAAUGACCUAAGAACAGAGAUAAAAUAAAGUCAAGAUUCUCCCUUUAUUUAUUUGCAGACCCUUCCGUAUUUGACUCAUCUUUUGUUCCAUCACUAUUGCCUUUGCAUGAAUCGCUUCGCUCCUUUUUCGAGAGUGGAGUCCAUGGCUCGAAUAUGAAAUCUUGAUUCCACGAAUUGGAACUUUUAUCAUCUCGCUUGAAGUUAAAUUUGCAUAAAACUCACGAACUAGUUCCUCAUCCACACUUGGUCUCUUUUCACAAAACAACUCCCAAUUUAGGGUUUCAGCAACUUGACGAAUACGAGCCAUAAAGUCUCGGUAGUUGCUCUCCUUUAAAGUGAAGCCUUUUUCUGGAUGCAUCUAUUGGUUUUUGAAGAUACUUUCGUAUCUCACUUUGGCUUCUUCACAAUGGAAUUUGUUUUGUGUUUCAUCAAUUUGAGCGGAAGCACGAGUUCUCUUGCGAGGCAUGUUUAACCUGAUCAUAAGAUGGAAAAAUUAGUUUCUCAAUAAAUUUUAAUAAAAAUUAUUAGUAAUUCAAUGAUUUGAAAAAUUAAUUAAUUAAAAUUAAAAUUAAGAAAAAAUAGGUCUUACCAACUUUUUUUUUUGUAAAAAUAUAAAAACUCUAGGAAUUAAUAAUAAUAAUGAAGAAAAAGAUGGGAAUUUAAAAGAAGGGUUGGAGGUUUGUGGCUUAGGAGGAUGGGAAAGGAAUGGCGCACAAGAAGCUAAGGCGUGCGGGCGUGGUGCGUGUGGGAGCAGCGGUGCGCAGUAGGGCUGGUAGCAACACGGGCGUUCGACAGCAAGUGGGACUCGGGCGUGCGCAGGAUGGUGCGGAGGGCAGGUACCGCGUGCGAGGUGAAGGCCUGGUGCGAGCUGAGGCUGGGGCAGCUCGAGGCAAUGCGCGCGUUAUGCGUGGGACGUGCGUGUGAUGGAGCUGGGCGUGUGCUGGCCGACUGCUUGGAGCUACUGCUGCUUGGGGUUUCGGCACUUGGGUAUUUUGGUGCUUUGGGUUUUAUGUGUUAGGUGAAUGGGAAGAUGGGUAGUAUUUAUAGGAGGAGAAAUAGAAAUUAGAGUAGAAUUCUUAAAACAAAUUAAUUAAUAAAAAUUCUAAAUUCUAAUCCUAUAUAACGAUAACAACAAUUAAUAAUUAGAUAUAUGCAUAUAUUAAACUAUUAAUUGCUAUUUAAUUUAUUAAAACAAAGAUAAAAUCUUAAUUUCAUGCUAAAUUGAUAAAGAUUAAUAUAUAAAUAGAUAUAAUUAUAUAUUAAAGAUUAUCAUCUUAUUAUCAAAACUUAUCAAACAAAAUCCAAAAAUUGAUAAUAAUUAAUAUAUAUUAUAAUGGGUAUAAUUAUAUAUUAAUAAUUAUCAUUUUUUUAACUAAAACAUUUAUUCUAGAGGCCCUUUACGAAAAAAUUUACAAAAAGAGGCAUCUAUUUUUUAUUAUUUACGAAAAUAGCAAUCAAAUUUUAAAAAUAAUUCAACUUAAGUCCCUAGACUUAAUGAAAAUUAAAAAUUGAGUUGCAAAUUAAAAAUUGGAUCAAAUUGACCCUUUUAUUUGAAAAACAAAAAUAUAUUUUAUUGAUCAGGGAAAAAUUUCUUAGAAAAUUAUGUUAAAAUAAAUUCCCAGGAAAGAUUGGAGGGGUCACAAAUGGUCCCGCUUAAGUUCCAACCUCCUAGACAGAAUUUAUUUAAGCAUACUAAACCCGAAAAUAGACCCUAAAUUAUUUAUUAAACAAAACAUGAAAAUUAUUAAAUAUCUGACAAAAUGAACGAGACGUUAUCCCGUUCGGUUUUAUUCCCCCAAUAGUGUUUCAAACGCUGAGCCUUAACUUGGAAAUUACCUCUCUUACCUUGGAGUUCAACAACUCCGUAUGGAUAGUCUCUGUGAAUUGUAAAUGGACCGGACCAACGUGAUUUUAGCUUACCUGGAAAGAACUUUAAUCUCGAGUUGAACAACAAUACUUGCUGACCUGCUUCAAAUUCUCGAACCCGGAUGUGUUUGUCAUGUCAUUUCUUGAGUCUCUCUUUGAGUAAUUUGGCAUUUUCAUAUGAAAACAUUCGAAAUUCUUCUAACUCGUUGAGUUGGAACAUCCGUCUUUCUUUUGUGAGCUUAGGAUCUAAGUUGAGUCGUCGAAGAGCCCAGUAAACUUUGUGUUCUAACUCCAAAGGUAGAUGACAUGAUUUACCGAAAACCAGCCUAUAGGGUGACAUCCCUAAAGGUGUCUUGUACGCUGUCCUGUAGGCCCAUAAAGCGUCAUCUAGUCUUUUGGACCAAUCUUGUUGAUUCGGGCAAACUACCUUCUCCAAUAUGCCCUUGAUUUCUUUAUUUGCCAGUUCAGCUUGUCCAUUCGUCUGCGGAUGGUAAGCCGUUGCAACCUUGUGUUUCACCUCGUGCUUGUCUAGUAACCAUUUUAACCACCUGUUCACAAAGUGGGUCUCUUCAUCACUAAUGAUGGCUCCCGGGGUUCUAAACCUCGUGAACACGUGUUUCUGCAAAAACUUCAUCACAACCCUAGCAUCGUUUGUCGGAUAUGCCUCUGCCUCGACCCACUUGGACACAUAAUCUACUGCGACUAGUAUAUACUUGUGACCAAAAGACGAAGGAAAGGGCCCAAGAAUGAGUUACCUUAGAAGAAUUAAACAUGCACUAAUUAAGUACUGAGUCUAUUAAUUGCAAUUUCAAUCCGUUUAAACAAUUAAUUCUUUAGUUAUCUAAACAAUUAUAAUGCCAGAUAACCUAAGCAUGAUUUUACUUAAUCAAGCAUUUCACUGAGGCCUAUAACAGCAUAAACACUAAUUUAAUAAUUCAAGUAGGCAAAAUAUAAUCAACCCAACACGAAUUAAAUUCAAGCUAAAUUGAUUAAAAUAACCAUUUCAACAACAAUAUUUUUCAUAGAUAGGUUCAUCAUAAAAACAACAGAAAUUAAAAAGAAAGGGAACAGAAAGCAAAUCUAGUGUUUCUUUGCAGCUUGACUGUUGCUCCGUUGUUAGUCUCCGUUGUCUUCACCGAGCAAGGCUUCUAUGAAUCCUUGAUUGCUGCCCAAGAUGGCUGAAGAACACCUCUUUCUCAAGAGAGGAAAUCGGCACAAGAGGAAGGGAAAAUGUGAUGGAGAAAUGGAGAGGAAACUUUGAGAGAAGUGAAGAGAAGAUAAGAGAAUGUUGUGGAAUGAGGGAUGUUGAGGGAUGCUUUGAAAUCGGCAGCAUAUAGUGGCUUUUAUAGCUGAAGAGGGCUGCUAAAAAUAGCAAAUUCAGCAGCCAAGAGAGCCCUCCCAUGGCCGGCCACACACAUGGCAAGGUUGAAGCUUUCAACCUUUCUAAAAAUAGGCUGGGGCAAAUCUACAAAGCCUAAAAUAAAGGUGGGGUUUGAACGUAAUUUGGAGGUUUUUCAAGGGCCUUUUUGCAAGAACAUUUUAUCAGCUAAUUUUCUGAUUUGGGUCAGCCAAUGGACGGUUCUGGUCAGCCCAAUUAGUGGCUGGUUCGGCUCACUUCAUUCGGUUCAACCAGUGCGGUUCACUAGGCCCUUUCUUCAUAAUUAAUUAAAAUUAAUUCAUUUAACCUAAAUUAAAUAGGAAAUAAAUUAAAAUUAAUUUAAUUAUGAAUUAAUACACAUUUCUGGACCGUCUUUGGCUGGAAAUUAAUUGGCCUCAAUACUUCAAAUUACUCUCGAUUUUGUUCUUCUCGCAGUGUUCAUUGGGCCCUUUUUCUCUAAUUGUAUAAUUCUAUCAAAAAUAACCAAAUUUAAUCAAAAUUAACUACAAAUUAAUUAAAAUUCAUAAUGUUCAUAUUUUUAACAUAAGUUAAUUAUUUUAUAAUAUUUAAUUAUUUUUUUGACAAGAAUUUAACCGAAUUUGCAUGAAUUUAAGUAGAAUUGGGUAUGAAAAAGUAUAUAAAUUUUUGUGUUUCCAAUGUGAUAGACAAAAAAUACAUACUUUAUUUUUGUUUAUUCAUGUAUUGUAGGCAACCACAAUAGCAAGCAAGUAUAGAGGUUGGUGCGUCCAUUUCUUCUUCUUCUUCUUUUUCUCCAUAAUUCUACACUUCUCUUAUCUUCUCUGACGGUAACAAAGAAAACUCAACUAUUGCUUCUUUUUAACAGGAGAAAAUUAGGUUUUAGGGUAAAAUUUUGUAUUCUAUUUCCACAAAAAAAAAUUAACUUUUCUCAUCCCAGCUGGACAUCGACGUUGGCAUUUAAAACCCAUCUUAACUGUCAUGUCAGACUGCCUUUUGGAAUGUAACAGAUCUUAACUGUAGAGUGGCCAUUUCGUAACAAAAUGAUAACGUAAGUGACUAAAAUAUAAACCAAGACAAACAAAAUUAACUAUUUUAAUAGUUUACCCAAUUUUUUAAUGAUACGUAUCAUUUUCUAAUUGACUAUAAAAUCAACCUUAAUUAUGGAAAUAAAAUUGAUCUAGUUUCGACCAAAAAAAUAAUAUCAAUUUCAUAGAUACAUUUUCUUUUUAUAUAUUAAGUAAUUAAUGGUUCUUUGAAAUAAUUUUUUUAACACACAAUAUCUAGAAUAUCUAUAGCCCCUCUUCAACUCAUAAAUAGGAGGAUAGUGCAUUUCAACACACUCGAACCCACAUCCUCCUACAUUGGGAGCAAUAUCCAUGGCAAUCUAGUUAAGACUCAAUUUGUCUAUUGACAUUUUUAUUUUAAUCAUUUUAUUUUUUAUUUUCAAUUUGAAAAAAAUUAAAUUUGAGUAUAUCAUCGAAAUUUAGAAAAUGUAAGGGUAAACUAUGUUAUUUUAGUGAAGAGUCGCUCACUCUCCCUCUCCUUCCUCCAUUUUCUAUCAAACUCUCGUCUCUCAUUUUCCCAAUAAUCACCGCACUCAUUUUACUUAAAGCAUAAUCACCGUACAAACUAAGAUUUUAACAAAAUAAGCAAAUCUUCUCCUAAUUUCUACCUAACCAGAGACGAAAGCCCAUGCCUCUCUUGCGUGUAUGUGCGUGUGUUUCCAGUUUGUUCUUCUUAAACCUUGCAAAAGUAUGAGUUUUUAAGUUUUGCUUACAAUUUUGACAUAGGUAUACUUCACCCUUUUCUAUGUUCUUUUUUGUGAGAUUAAAUUUCUCUUUUUUCUUUGCAUGCAUUUUUUUUAAAAUAUAAAUCUAGAAAGAUUUAGAAUUUCUUUUUACUUAAAGCUCAAGUUUUUCCUUAUAUAUUUUAUGAUGAAUUUUAUUGGGCUUUAAACCUCCAAUUUUUUUUAAAAUAGCAAUAUUUUUCUUGAAUUUUUUCUAGAUUUCUCUUUUUUCUUUGCAUGCAUUAUUUGGCGCCACCACUUUUUCACAAUACAAACGCUUUUUUUUUUAAAAAUUAAAAAAUAUAUUAUUUUAUUGAGUGCAUUAGUUUUAACCUUUUUUUUCUUUAGUUGUUAUUAUUAUUUUACUUUUUUAAAUUAAAAAAAUGUUAUUUUAGUUUAAGAAUAAAAAAUGGUAUUUAAUUUGAUAGAGUCAUUAAAAAUAACGUCACUAGUGCUAGUGCUAUAGGUGUUUUUUUUUUAAUUUUUUUAUUUAAAAAAUAAAAAAAAUGAUAUUUUGUUCAAGACCGAUAGCAUUGUGUCUUACAACAUUAUGUCUUACAAAUAAAACAUAAUUAAACGAUUUUGUUAAAGAUCGACAACAUUGUGUUUUACAAAUUGAAAAAUACAAUGUUUAACCGCAAGUCGACCAAGCGUUUCUCACUGCUAUUAAAUUGUAGCACGGAUGCUGUCGAUAUUGAUAUCCUCACCGGUGUGGUUUGAUUUGGGAUUCCUUAAAACCUUCAAACAUCUUGUUGACACAUGGAAUAAUCCCAAAUAAUCCACCCAUUGGCAGUAUAACCAAUUUGAACCCUUUACUAUCCUACCACGGCCAAUGGAAACACUUACAUAACCAAUUUGAACUUGUUACCAAAUAAAUAACUGGUAUCCAAAAAUAACUAUUAAAUUUAUCGGUGUCGAAGCUUCACUAGAUUACCACUAAACAAAACAUACCUUCAAAGUAAAAAAAUUUACUGUAUAAAAAAAUAAAUAAAUACAUAAAAAAAUGCUCCUCAUCUAUCGCCCAUUCAUCCUCUAACAAAAUAUAAGUAAAAAUAAAAUUUGUUUCCUUCAACUCAGAUUGAUUUGUCAUUGAGGGUUAUAUUUAACAAAUUGGUCAUGCCAAAGAGAAUUGGGAUAUCCUGAAUUAGGGCCUAAACGGAAUAGUGGUUUCAAAACCACAAUUCUGAAGUAGAAAAAUUUAUUUUGAUUAAUUUUUAUAAUUUAUUGAGUGAUUAGAUGUAUGUGUUAGAAUAUCGAUAGAAAAUUUCAUGAAUUGCAUGUCUAAUUUGCCUAUUAGGACUUAAUUGCAAAAUUUGAUAAAUAUGAGUUUUAGAUGUUAAAGGAUUUAAUUGAAGAGCAUAAUUGAAGUAGAGGUCCUUAAAUAGUAAUUAUACCACUAGGUUUUCAUGGAAAAAAGUGGACAUACAUAGGUAGAAAUAGCCAAAGUUUUUAAUGAAGGGUAUUUUAGUCAUUUGGUAAUUAAAAGCUUAAAAAAAGGAAAAAGAUAGCAAAAUAUGUCCAUCUUGUAACACCCCUAACCCGUAUACGUCGCCGUAUUAGGGUUACGAGGCAUUACCGAACAAAUACAACCAUUAUUAUUUUUGGUUUUUUUACCUAUGUUUUAAACUUACUAAUACAAACUAAUUCAUAAUUUAUUCUUGAUGUAACCAAUCAAGACAUAUAAUCAAGUUUCAAUCAUACUAAUUAUCAUUUAUACAAAUAGACUUAUACUAUGGUUGAAUCAUUUAAAUCAAUUACAUUGAACAUUCAACCUAGAAUAUAUAAAACUAAGUUUAAACAUAAUGAUCAAGCCAUGUUUAACUAAACCGAAUUUAAGCAUAGGAAAUAAACCAUUAAAACAUAUUCGUUAAUACCAAAUUCAAAACAAAAAGAGAUAAGUCAUUUUCGCAUGGCUCAUAUUCACAUAUCCCAAAAAUUUAAACAUAUUAACUAGACUAUACAUGCCAUAGGUUUGAGUUCAAAAUAUAUAAAAUACCAAAGACGGUCGAUAGUGUGAUAGAUUAUGCUGAUGAUCCCCGAGCUCGUAACGAGUCUCCAAAAUCUAUAAGAAUAGAUAGACAAAAAUAACCAAAGUAAGCUUUUAUAGCUUAGUAAGUCUAUAGCGUAUAUAAAAAUACAUAUAAAAGAAUCACAUAAUUAUUUAAGUAAAUUUAUCGAAAUCACAAAUAUCAAAUAUAAUUACUAACCAAACAUUUCUAUAUUAAGUCAUUUUGUUUAAAUCUAAAAGAAUGUAUAUUUAACUAAUAUACAUAAACGGACUAAGGUAUAUACAUUAUAUGCAUAAAAUCAAAUUACUAACAUAAUCAUUAUCUGCAUAUACAGAUUUUUAGAGUACUUGUUAUCCAUACUUCAUCGGAUCCAUUUAUAUAUUUGUUCAAUUACGUAUACCAAAAGCAUAAUUUUUAUACAUUAUCUGCAUAUACAGAUUUUUAGAGUACUUGUUAUCCAUACUUCAUCGGAUCCAUUUAUAUAUUUGUUCAAUUACGUAUACCAAAAGCAUAAUUUUUAUACUUAUAAACUAUAAAGGCCGAAUACACAUAUUCACUUAUACCCACCUAUGCCGAAUGCAUACAUAUAUACACUCAUAAAUAUCCAACAAUUUUCAUGACAUCCGAUAUAUAUAUAUACAUACUCACUAAUCACAAAGAUUCGAACAAUUAUAUACUCAUCAACAUCUUGAAACAAUAUUCAUACAUUCAUCCAUUUCAUAUAAAAUCAUAUCUAUAUUUAUACCAAAUGCUUAGAAUCACUUAAUUCAUCAUAUUCGGAUCACCGGCACUUAGCCUGCUAGGCUUAUAGCCUGAUUCAGAUCACCGGCGCUUAGCCUGCUAGGUUUAUAACCUGAUUCAUAUCACCGGCACUUAGCCUGCUAGGCUUAUAGCCUGAUUCAGAUCACCAGCGCUUAGCCUGCUAGGUUUAUAACCUGAUUCAUAUCACCGGCACUUAGCCUGCUAGGCUUAUAGCCUGAUUCAGAUCACCGGCGCUUAGCCUGCUAGGUUUAUAACCUGAUUCAUAUCACCGGCACUUAGCCUGCUAGGCUUAUAGCCUGAUUCAGAUCACCGGCGCUUAGCCUGCUAGGUUUAUAACCUGAUUCAUAUCACCAAUUCCAAACUUGAAAAUACAAUGAUUCAACCGAAUACAUUUAUAUAUAUUUUUGAGUCUAUCAUAAACAUAUAUAAUUAUGUACUCAUAAUCAAAGCAUGAAUUUAUAUUUGUAUACUCAUACAUAUUCGAAUCUAAUAUAUAUACAUCCAUAAUUUCAUUCCUAAAUCCAUAUAAGGUAUCAUGCAUGUAUAUGCAAACUUGUUCGAUCCACACAUAUAUAUAUAUUACACACAUAUACAUAUAUUCGCACAUUAAUAUAAACACAACCAUAACAUUUGAACUUUUAAUUGAGUCUAAAAAUUUAUACUUUUAUAUACAUACCUAUUCGAACAUCACAUGUAUAUGUAUGAAAUUCACACAUCAACUAACAUAAAUUUUAUACUUGUAAUUAUAACUCAUUAAUUAUAAAAUAAAUAUACUUAUAUAUAUUGAUUUGAUAACAUGAAUUUUUGCUAACAGACUUACCUCGAAUAUCAGCGGACACGAUCGACUACUCGACUACUUUCGUUUUCCCCCGAUCCAAUUCCGUUUUCCUCAUUUCUUGAUCUAAACACAUUUAAAUUUAACCUUUUUAUUCAUCAAAAUAUUCAAUUAACUCCAAAAAUACAUAAAUGGACAAAUUACUAUUUUGCCCCUGACAUUUUACACUUUUUACAAUUUAGUCCAUUUUUGCACAAAACACAAAAUACAUAAAUUUUGCCCACAUUAUGUUAGGGCCGAAUAUUUCAUAGACCCAUAUAGAUCCUUGCAUGUCAUUUAUUUCACCUUUUAGUCCCUCAAUUAAAUAUUUUUUUACAAAUUAAUCCAAAAUAAUUAAAUUCAUCAAAAAUUCAAGAACACAUAUUAUAAUCUAUCACAUAUCUUUCAUAUUCAUCAUCAAACAUCACAAAACACAAAUAUUCAUCAAUGGCAUAACUUAAAAUAUUCAUCAAAAUCAGAAAUUCAAGCAUGGGUCGGGUAGUAUUCAAAGCAACGAUCUCAAAAACGUAAAAAUUAUCAAAAACCGAACAAAGAACUAACCUUAAUUUGAGCUCAUUAAUGGCCGAACCUAGCUAGAUUUUUUUUUUCUCUUGUUUCAAAUUCGGCAGUAGGAAGAUGAUGAUGAAUUUAUUUUCUUUUUGUUUUAUUUAACAUAUAAUAACAUAUAUUUUUGGUUUACUAUUUUAACCUUAUUUAAUUUAAUUAUAAAACAUAUAAUACAAGGGCAAUGUUGACCAUUGCCACCCACUAUCAUCUAAAUGGCCCAAUUGUCAUUUAAAUCCCCCAUUUUUAAAAGACAAAAACAAUUAGGUGCUUUUAAAAUUGACCCCCUUAAAUUUUUAAUUUUACACGAUUAAGUCAUUUUCUUUAAUCGGUCAUUCAAACGAUAAAAUUUAAACAUGGAAAUUUCACACAAUCAAAUUCACACAUAAUAAACUCUCUAAAUACUAUUAAAAUAUUUUUUUUUGACUCAGAUUUGUGGUCCCGAAACCACUCUGUCCGAUUAGGGUCAAAAUUGGGUUGUUACACAUCUUCUUCAUUAGGACGAAAUUUUAAGGGUUCUCCAUAGCUAGGGUUUGUUUCAAGCUUCCAAGCUCCAUAGUAAGUGAUUCCAAACCCCGUUUUUAAUGUUCUUUACAUUUUUGGAGUCCCGGUAACUUGAUUUAGCUUACUCUACCAAUAAUUUAACCUAGGGUUUAUAUUUGGAAAAAUACCCAUAGGUGAAAUGUGUUUAUUUUGAUGUUUUAUGGUAGAAUAUGAAGCUUUAAAUUGUGUAAAAACAAUUAGGACUCACACUUUAUAUGUAUAGGUUCCUUAUUGAGUCUACUUUUAAUAGAAACAAACAGCAUAGUCAUCUGAAUUCUGUAAAAAAGAGAAGAGUGAUUCGUAGUAAACAGAGGUCAGAGCAGUCGAACACUAAAACAGGGGAAACUUUAACUAAUAAACUGUACUAAUUGGCCCAACCAAAAAUUCUAGAAAAAAAUUAGUAAGUAGAUAUAUGAGUCUAGUUUUAAGAAAAAUUUACGAAACUAGAUUUCGAAUUUUGUAACUCGAGAUAUGAUUUUUUUAACGAUUGUGACGCAGAUGGACAGUUUACUACGAGAAUUGUUUGAACUUGUUUAAAUGCUAAAAUAAGUUUAGUAAUGUCUCAUGCUCGACUCCGGCGACGGUCUCGGGUAAUGGGGCGUUACAUAGAAUCACUUACUAUGGAGCUUGGAAGCUUGAAACAAACCCUAGCUAUGGAGAACCCUUGAAAUUUCGUCAUAAUCAAGAAGAUGGACAUAUUUUGCCAUCUUUUUCCUUUUUUUAAUCUUUUAAUUACCAAAUGACUAAAAUACCCUUCAUUAAAAACUUUGGUUAUUUCUACCUAUGUAUGUCCACUUUUGUCCAUGAAAACCUAAUGGUAUAAUUCCAUUUAAGGACCUCUACUUCAACUAUGCUCUUCAAUUAAAUCCUUUAACAUCUAAAACUCAUAUUUAUCAACUUUUACAAUUAAGUCCUAAUAGGCAAAUUAGACAUGCAAUUCAUGAAAUUUUCUAUCGAUAUUCUAACACAUGCAUCUAAUCACUCAAUAAAUUAUAAAAAUUAAUCGGAAUAAAUUUUUCUACUUCAGAAUUGUGGUUUCGAAACCAUUAUUCUGUUUAGGCCCUAAUUUGAGAUAUCACAAUCCAAGCCUCGUGUUUAAUGUUCUUUACGUUUUUGGAGUCCCGGUAACUUGAUUUAGCUUAUUCUACCAAUAAUUUAACCUAGGGUUUAUAUUUGGAAAAAUACCCAUAUGUGAAAUGUGUUUAUUUUGAUGUUUUAUGGUAGAAUAUGAAGCUUUAAAUUGUGUAAAAAUAAUUAGGACUCACACUUUAUAUAUAUAGGUUCUUAUUGAGUCUACUUUUAAUAGAAACAAACAGCAUAGUCAUCUGAAUUCUGUAAAAAGAGAAGAGUGAUUCGUAGUAAACAGAGGUUAGAGCAGUCGAACACUGAAACAGGGAAAACUUUAACUAAUAAACUGUACUAAUUGGCCUGACCAAAAAUUCUAGAAAAAAAUUAGUAAGUAGAUAUAUGAGUCUAGUUUCAGAAAAAAUUUACGGAAUUAGAUUUCGAGUUUGUAACUCGAGAUAGGAUUUUUUCAGCGACUGUGACGUAGAUAGACAGUUUACUACGAGAAUUGUUUGAACUUGUUUAAAUGCUAAAAUAAAUUUAGUAAUGUCUAAUGCUCGACUCCGGUGACAAUCUCGGAUAAGGGGGCGUUACAAGAAUAGUUCUAUCAAGUAAAAUAUUAUUUUUUAUAUUUAAAUUAAAAAAUUUAAAAAAAAAUGUACCGCGCACAUUAAUGGCUUCAUUUUAAAUGGAGCCACCAAUAAAAUAAUAUAUAUUUUAAUUAAAAAAAAAAGCGUAUGACAUGUGAAAAAGUGGUAGUCUCAUCUUAAUGGCUCCAUUAAAAAAAGAUUAUUUUUAAAAGCCUCAAAUUUUUUAGAAAUAAUAGCAUUUCCCUAAUAUUUAUACAGGUGAUGUCAUUCUAUAUGGUCUCACCAAAAAAUAAAUUUUUUGUUGGGUUUGUUGAAGUAGUAUGUUGGAGACACCAAACUUUUUAGCUCUAUCAAUUUUUACUGUAAAUUUCAAGUUACUUACAUGUAUAAUAAAAAAGAAUAAAUCAUUUUCAUAAUUAAUCAAAAUUUUAAUUUCAUUCGUAAAAAAUCUCUAUGUAGAGAAUUUACUUACUCAAUUUAGCUAUUUCAAAAUAUUUGUUUAUGUCAAUGUAGAUUAAAAAAGAAUUUCCUUAUUGUUUAUAGUAUUUACUUUUAUCUUAAUGAAUCCUGGUGUGCACAUUAUUUUCCUCGCAUAACUUGGCAUCAAGGUCAGGUUUCUCCUCCCAUGGAUAUUUUUUUGGCUUUAAACUGUAGUUAGUCUUGUAUUGAUGUCAUUUCCCUAAAUGAAAUCUUGUAUUGUGGAAGAGUAGCGUCGGAUGGCUUGGAAACUAUAUAGUGGGCGGCAAAGAGUGAUAGAUUAUCACGACACGAGUUUUGAUAUGUGGCUGAAUGGGACAAAUAAAUGACACGAUUCAAUGUUGUGCCACGGAAGAGAGGAAACAAGCACAAUAGACAAAAAUAUUUGAGCGUUUCUAAAUUUCACUGCUUAAAAGAGUGUAAUCUACCAAUCCAUUGACAUUCUUUUUAUAUAUAGUUGAAUAUUAUUAAAUUAACAUAUCCCAUGCCUAGUGGGAGUUUAAAACUAGUAUUACUUAUAACAUUAAACAAAUACAAUAUUAACUCAAAUGAUUGAAUUAACUAACCAAAACCCAGAAGAAAGAAGAAUUAUUCAAACCCAUACUAAAUAACUAUGAUUUAAAAAUAAUAUUAAAAAAAUAUUUUCCCUUUUAUACAUCAAUCUAUGGGCUAAUUGAGUGCAAUCAAUUAAGAUAGUGAUGGGCCCUUUAGGUCCAAUAUCAAGCCCAAUUUAAAGUCAAUCCGGAGUUGGGUUGACCCGAUACCAAUCCAAAUUCCACUCGUUUCAUUCUUUUGCUAACAAUCCACUCGGUAUCUCCUCCAUGGAAGCAUCGAAUCAGUCGAUCUCCUCCACUUUGUUUCUCAUCUCCAUCCAAUCCUGAACAUCGAAAUUCCCUAUUUACCCUCCUCGCCCUAUCAAAUUUCCCUCAUCGCCCGAAUUUUCCAUGGCUUGACCCUUAAAUCCGACUCAAAUGGACUCUCUGCAAGGUCUCCCUCCACUAUCGACUCUGUCCACCUCAGUUUCCUCUACCCUCAACGCUAAACUCGGCACCAACCAUGAUCUAACCCAAGCACCAAGUAUCGUCGCCGAGUUUCUGACUCAGUGCGAUGAUCUGGAACGAAAUCUAGUCCACCUCAACCGCACCCUCGAGUCAAACCUCGCAUCUUACGCUUCCUUCUCUAAUCGCAUCGGCCACCUCUUCGGCAUUGUAAAUUCGAAAUUGAUCGAUCUAGGUUCCUCCGUUUGCCUUCGGUCCUCCGUUUCAG
rnacentral:lncRNA from 1 species